UAAUCGAGAUGACAAAAUGACUAAUUACUUUUACUUAUUCUCGCUGUAAGAAAAAAUAAUUUUUCAAUAUAUUUUUGUAAUUUUUAAAGAUAUUUUUGGUUUAAAUUAUAAAAAAUAGACGAAAUAGUGAUAGAAUCGCGAUGAAAUGGGCUAAAUACAUAAACUUAAAAUUUUGAUAGGGUAAAAUGUGAUAUUUUGAAUGUAGAAAAAAAUAAAAAAUGAAUAUUUGCAAAAAGAUUUUUUAUAAUUGGAAAGUGCUCUAUUUAUUCGGAAUCGAUUUUGUAGAUCAAGUACACAAUUUAUAAUAUUUACGAAAAAGAGUAAUAUAUGAAACCACAUAAUUAAUAUUGAUGUAAAAAUAAGCUAAACCACAUACAUAUAUUUUAUUUUUUCUUGAAAAAUUUAGUGAAAAAAUAUAAAGGAUUCGGAUGGUUAGGGUCAGAAUCGGAUUCAAAUGGUGAUGCCAAACUAAAAAAGCUUACCUAAUUCGGAUUCAGAUCCUCUAACAACCCGAAUCCGAUGCGUGUCGUGUAUCAACACCCUAUUUGUUUGUUUAUAUUUUUUAUAUCAAUUUUAAAUUAUUUUUAAAAAAAUUGUAAUGUAUGUUUGCUUCAAUUUUUUUAAAUUAAUUUUAUUUUUAUUUAUUAAUUUAUAACUUUAAUUUUUGUUCAGUACGAGGGAGCUGUUAAGGAGGACGGGAGAGGGCCCACCAUCUGGGACAAAUUUGCACACUCCUUUGGUGACUAAUUAUGAUUUGUUUUAUUUUUAUUUUUAUUAGCAUUAGUUUUUAUAAUAUUUUUUUUUUUAAAAAAAGAAUCUUGUGAUAAUAUGAGCAAUUUUUUUUAAAAUUUGUGAGAAAAUAAAUAUUGUGAAUAAAGUUGCAAGAAUAAUUAUGGAUAUUUUUGCAGGUAAAGUGAUUGAUUUUAGCAACGCUGAUGUCGCGGUGGAUCAGUACCAUCGAUUCGAAGUAAUUUUAUUUUAUUUUUAUUAUCAUUAUUGAUUUUUUAUGUACGUGCACAUUUGUAACAACGUGAAAAUUAUUUUUAUUAUUGAUUUUUCUAUAAAAUUUUUUUUAUGAAAAUUAUUUUCUUUCAAAGUUUCCUUUUUUUGGAUUAAAAAAAAUAGAAAAAUGAAAAUACUACUGUACUAUGAAAUCUGAAUUUUCUUUAGAAAACCUAUUUUUCUAAAAAAAAACAAACUGAAAAUAUUUUUUCAGCCAAAAAAAAUAUUUUCUGAGAUAUUUUUCAAGGAACCAAACACACCCUUUAAAAAAAGGAAAAAAAAAAAAAAACUAUAUGUGAGACAGAAUUUGGGAGGAUAUAUAUAGAGUUAGGCUCCUAAAAUAUCCAUAAUAUCGAAACUUCGGUAUUAUAAUCUUGUUUUCAAUUUUAGAAUAUUCAAAUCAACGAUCUACUCCGUUAAAACUGAUUUAAAGUAUUUGAAGAUUUUUUUUUGAUAUAGUUUACGCUAUAAUCAAAUUAUUUUAAAAUUGUCAAUUUUCAAUGACUGCUAUGGCUAGUUGUAGUUUAAUGGAGUAGAAAAAUCUAAAUCUAAUCAAAUUUUGAUAGAAAAUACUUUAAACUAUCUAGAUCAAGGAUACAACAUCUUUGAUCUUAAAUUCAAAAGUUCUAUCCUCAAAUUUUAAAGAUUGUUUAAUCCCACCGUCCGUUUUGACAUGAUUUACUCACUAAGUAUACGGUGUCGAAAAAAAUCAAAAUUUUAUUUGUAAAACUUCAUAUACCCUAAAUCUUAUUUAACGGUGUAGAUCGUUGAUUUGAAUACCAUAAGAUCGAAAACAAGAUUAUACUAUCAAAACCCUGGUACUAUAGAUAAGAGUCCAACUUAAGGAUGCAAACGAAUCCGGGUUGGUGGAGCUCCCGCCCCGAUCCACCCCGACAGGGGCAGUAUAUGGGAGAAAAUAAAAGGAUUCGGGACAGGAAACGGGGUAAAUUUUACGAUUCGAGACGGAUUCGGGGCAGGAAACGGGAGAAAUUUUGGCCCGCCUCGANCGAAUCCGCUCCGAAUCCGCCCCGCCAUGAUGCCCCCCGAAUCCGCCCCGAAAAAUAUUUAUAUUUUAAAAAAAUAUUCCUAAAAAAUAAUGUAUUUACAAAAAAAAUUCAAAAUACAAAUAAGUUAGUACUCUCAUUUCUAAUAUAUUUGAAACUUUUGAAUUUUGUUUUGAAUUGUGAUUGAUAUUUUUGAUUUUUAUAGUUGAUAUUGUUAAAUUAUAUAUAUAAUAUUAUUAAAAAUUAUUAAUUUAUAUUUUGCAAAAUAUUAAUAAUAUUAUAAUUUUAUAAAAAAUAUUAGUUGGCGGGGCGGAUUUGGGGCGCCGGCGGGAGGUGGGUUACGAAUGUAUUUUUUAAACCGUCACGGAUUCGGGGCGAGAGGCGGGGCGGAAUUUUGCUAGUCGGGGCGGGAGGCAGGGCGGGGCUCCAGACCCCAGAUCCACGUUUGCAUCCCUAGUCCAACUACAGUGUUUGUAAAUUUUUUACCGUUAUAUCUAUUCUUUUGAUCAUUUUCACCAGUUAAAUUAUACUAUUCAACCAACUGCCCACUCAACCCAAGGGGUCUCACAUCGUCCUAACCGCACAUAUCUUAAUUGGCUAAAUUACAUAAAACCCUCCCGUAAUAACCCGCAUUUUUACUUUCACCCCCUGAUAUUUAAAAACAUACACUUUGCCCCCUUGUAAAAUGAAAAAUGUGCACUUCACCUCCUACCGUUAGGAUUCCGUUAUAAAAUAUUUUUUUAUGCCCAAAAUACUCCUCCGCCCUCUUCCUUGUUGCUUCGCCUCCCUCCGGCUCGCCGCCUCGCCACCUCGCCCUCCUCCACUGCCUUGCCCUCGCCCUCGCCCUCGCCCACAUCCCCUUCGCCCUCCUUCGCCAUCUCGUCUUCGCCCUCGUUGCCCUUGUCUACCUCUCCAUCAACACCCACCUCGAUUUCCUCCCUACUAUUGUCGAAAUCGAGGGGCGGCGAGGGUGCAGGAGGAGAAGGGGAGCAGGUGGAGAAGGAAAUGGAGAGAAAUCGCGGCCGAUUGAGGUGGAAAUCGCGGCCGAUCGAAGGGGCGGCGGAGGAAAAUGAGGAAGAAGACGAAAAUGGCGAGGGACAAAAUGGUCAUUUUACACACCGUAACCCCCUGUGAACAUUUUUCAUUUUAAAUGUCAGGGGGCAAAGUAUAGAUUUUUAAAUGUCAGGGGGGGAAUGUGAAAAAGUGGGUUAUUACAGGGAGAUUUUUUGUAAUUUAGCCAUAUUAAUUUAAUGGCAAAAAAUCUAUAAGAACCAAUAAUUUGAUACUUUUAAAAGCAUUGGUACUUUUAAAAGCAUAGGAGCUUAACCUUUUUCUCUCCUCUCUCUCUCUCUCUCUCUAUAUAUAUAUAUAUAUAUAUAUAUAUAUAUAAUAUAUAUAUGAAAUUUAUUUGUGACGAGAACCAAAAAAAAAAAAAAAAAAAAAAAAAAAAAAGAGAAGAAAAUCUAAAAUUAAUGGAUUGUGAGGUAUUUGGAAUUGGAUUUGUGAUUGCAGGAAGAUAUAAAGCUCAUGGCAGAUAUGGGAAUGGAUGCUUACAGGUUCUCCAUCGCAUGGUCUCGAAUUUUCCCAGGUAAUUAAUUAAGACCACCUAAAUUAUAAAGUUACUGUCCUUUUCAUUUUGAUAUAAUUGGUUUCGUAGCCCACCUUAUAUAACGCUAGUCGACAAAACAUAGUUUCGGCAAAGUUUCUAUGUAUCUCUAUUUUUUCAUGAAAUCGUAAAAAACAUAUAUAUCGUGAUUUGCUUAUUGCGAUAUACAGAGCGUGAUAGCACAUAAACAAACAGAUUAUUUUCGCAAUACCAAACAGAGGCUACGUGAUUUGAUUUUCUUCUGCUGUAUAUAUGUAUCUUUAUUAAAUCAUCAAUUUCAAAUUCAUUGGUAUUUUAGUCACUUAAAAACUAAGGCCUCGUUUAUUAUUAUUGUCCAUUUUUUAUUUAUUUAAACACUAAUUUUAUAUAAUUUGAUAUAUUAGAUUUUUUUUUUUUUUUUUUUUUUUUUUUUUUUUUUUUUUUGCUGUCCUUGUUAUUCAUAACAUCUUCUUCAAGUUUUUAUUUUUUGUUGUUAAGCAACUAAUUUGAAUAUGACAAUCGCAAGCAAUUUAUCAUCCUCAAUCUCUUAUACUAUUUUGUGUAGAAAUUUUAUUUAAAAAAUAUAAAAAUGACAACGAUACCAAAGGAGGCCUAAUAUUUUGGUUCGUUAGAAUAUAAAUAGGAUAAUGAACAGAGUCUAGGUACCAAAAAAUGCAUAGACAUAUUAAUUUGUAUUAACGAAUCACUUAUUAAUUUUUAAUUUUUUUUUCUUUUGAUGCUAGAUGGUUCUGGUGAAGUUAACCAGCUCGGAAUCGACCACUACAACAAGUUAAUCGAUGCAUUGUUAGCCAAAGGUAGCUAAAAGUAAACCACAUUCGAACCAUUCGAGAAAUUUUGUCGCAAAAUUUAGUUUAAAGUAGCGUAUUCGAUAUAAAUUAUUAUGCAGUUGAUGAGUAAGUUUUGCAGGAAUUGCACCCUACGUGACCCUGUUUCACUGGGACCUUCCACAAGCUUUAGAAGACAAAUACAAGGGUUGGCUCGAUCGACAAAUCAUGUAAGGAAAAAAAAGUAGCAUUAGACUCAAAACUUAUGAAUUCCUUUUCUAAUUAUAUCGUGGACGAAUGUGGUGAGAUUCGGCAAUAUAACAUCCAAUAGUUCCACAUCAGAUUAAAAAAAAAAAAUCUAAUUGGGAAUAUAAGAGGCUGCACAUUCUAGUAAUAAUAACUGAAUUUAAAUAUUUUGGAUCGGCGGUUUUGUCCUAACAAGUUAUUAUUGUUAGCAUGUCGGAUUGUUACUGUUGAUAUCAGAGUUGAAUACCAGCCGGAAGUGUGAGAGGUAAGUGUCAUGUAGGGCAGAGUGUUACACUACUGGUUUGGUAGGAGCCGCCUCUAGAAUCUCGCAUCAUCUGAUAAUUUUAGUCUGUAUGUUUGUAUUCGGGUAUGGAUAUGACGUUUCUGAUAGAAAAUAUAAGAGGCUAUACACUCUAAUAAUAAUAACUAUGCUUAAAAUAUUUUGGGCCGGUGGUUUGAACCUAACGAAUUAUUAUUACUAGCGGGUCGGAUUGUUAUAGACAACUGAUUUGCGGAUACAAGAGAAAAUAACAAUAGGUAUUGAUAAAAGAAAUCGAGAAUAAGAAAAUAAAGCAUGCCUUUUGUAGAAGCUGAGAUGAGUUGAGCACUUCUUCUUAGAACUCUUAUUACAGGUUUUAUGCAUAUUGCAGUGCAAGUAACACUAAAUUUACUGCCAUUUUUCAGAGAGGACUUUGUAAACUACGCAGAGACAUGCUUCAGGGCAUUUGGGGACAGGGUGAAGCGCUGGAUCACAUUCAAUGAGCCUCACACAUUCGCGGUCCAAGGCUACGACGCCGGGCUCUUCGCCCCGGGCCGCUGCUCCGUCCUCCUCCAUCUCUUAUGCCGAGGGGGGAACUCCGCGACAGAACCGUAUGUCGUAGCCCACAAUAUCCUUCUGGCUCAUGCUGCUGCAACAGAUGUUUACAGGAGGAAAUAUCAAGUACAGUUUGUAUUGCUGGGUCCUUCUUGAACCUGCAGCUUUUCAGUUUGAAAUUGGUCACUGAUUUGGUCCAGAACUUGGUCUGGAAUUGCAGGGAACACAGCAAGGAUCAGUUGGCAUGUCAUUUGAUGUUAUUUGGUUUGAGCCUCUGACGAAUAGUUCCGAAGACAUCGAUGCGACGCAGAGAGCACAAGAUUUUCAGUUGGGGUGGUGAGAUUUUCGCUGAAAAAUUUGCUUGCACAUCCAUCAAUUCCGAAUUUUGCGCUUAAUUCUUAAAUCAUAAUAUAUUUGACUUUAGUCCAACACCACAUGAAACAGCUUCUCUACUCGAAUAGCAGAAGCUUAAUGUUUGACAAAGUACGAACUUUGAGCUAGUCUAACCAGAAAACCUAAAUGAGCUCGGCCUUCAAAUUAUAAAACUCAGACUUAAAAGGUUCUGCAGAAGUUGCUGAGAGGAUUGUAAUGUGAAAAGCUAAUAGGAGCUUCUUUCAACCACUUCACUGAAAAAGCACUUCUGUAAAGUUCAUCCUUUCUAAACCUAGUUUGAAAUGGCGGUGGCUAAGAGGACCCGCUUUUAUACUCUGGAAUGUCUUGAAAAAAACUAGGAAGCAAUUCCGAUCCUUCCCUCUCCGAUAUUAUAAAAUGGUGGUAAAAAUUGUCACCGCAGAAGUAUAUAAAGCACUUCUGAAUUUUUUGGACCUUUGAAAGCAUAAGCGUAAAAAUGGAUGCUUUUAACCACGUCAAUACCAAACUAGGCCAGGCCCUGAAGUGAUUGACAUUUUUUUAACACUCAAUUGAUCUGACGAUCACACACACUCUUGUCCUGAAACCAUUUGUUGAUCAUGAACCGAGAUUCCGGAACUAACAUGAGCAUCUCGAGUACUCAUCUACUAUACAUAUCCUCAUUAGUAAUAUCUCUGAAACUCAAAUGCUAAAACAGGUUUAUGGAUCCAAUAUUCUUCGGAGAUUAUCCGAAAUCAAUGAGAACAAGAGUUGGAGAUAGAUUACCGAAGUUUUCGACAGCGGAAACUGAUCUAGUGAUGGGAUCCUUAGAUUUUGUGGGCAUAAAUCACUACACCACGUACUAUGCGAGGCACAAUUCGACGAACAUAAUCGGUUUCCUGCUGCACGAUACACUCGCGGAUUCUGGUGCCAUUACUCUCCGUAAGUCGGCUUACGUUCGAUGCUUACACUUCUAUUUUUACUGAUGCUACAUCUGUUAUUCGUAAAUACGAUUUAUUCCUUUACUUUUCUUUUCCUUUCUAUUGCAAAUAUGCAGCAUUCAAGGAUGGGAAAGCGAUAGGAGAUAAGGUAAGAUUCAAAGAGAAAUGAAAUGACUAACACUGUGACAAAAUAUAGAUAUGAAUAAUCCAAUUGUAACAAUUGAAAUGUUGAGAAUUAAAUAAGAACCUUGCGAUAUUGUCGAGGACUCAGAACUACAAAUUUACCCUUUCUGUAUGAAAUCAGAUAAGCAUUUGUUGUUCUCCAAUGCAGGCAAGUUCAAUAUGGCUAUACAUUGUGCCUCAAGGGAUGAGAAGCCUAAUGAACUACAUCAAGCAAAAAUAUGACAAUCCACCAGUUAUCAUCACAGAGAAUGGCAAGCACCUUUUCCUACUCAUGAACUAUUUAUAUAUUGAUUUUAAUAUUGCUACUUGUAUUGUACAAUCUAGUACAUCAGCGGUAAUUGAGGGUCCCAUAAAGGGUACGCUAAGCUAAAUAUAUCAAUGGUAGGCGAAAUCAUCAUUUUUGUGGGCUACUGUAGGCUACUGAUGUGCUGGCAUAGACUUGUAUAGUACAAUCCAAUAUAACAGUGGUAAUUAGGGUACCACAAGGGGUACCUUAAGCAUUUCUGGAUCGUUCUUUUAUUGUACUGUAGGGGAUUAAAUAUGAUAAUAGCUAUUUUUUUGCAGGGAUGGAUGAUUCAAACAACCCUUUCAAAUCUGUGCAGGAUGCUCUGAAGGAUGAAAAAAGGAUCAACUUUCACAAUGAUUAUCUAUCAAAUCUAUCAGCCUCCAUCAGGUAAUUCAGUAACAAAGAUGUUUUCAUUAAACUGAACAUAGAUUACAAUAAAAAUUAUAAGAGAAUUAAAUUCUUAUCUAAAAUAUCUUAACUGGUUACAUGAUUGUCACGUGAUCAAUUUUCUCACAAAAUGCUGCAGUGAUUACAACAUCAAAAGACAAAAUCUCCCUGUUGGGAGUCAACUAAGAGCAUUCUUUGUGAUCUUUAUCAUGCAGGGAGGAUGCUUGUGAUGUGAGGGGAUAUUUUGUGUGGUCUCUUCUUGACAACUGGGAGUGGGCCGUGGGCUACACUUCACGGUUCGGGCUAUACUUUGUCGACUACAAACACAACCUCACAAGAUACCCAAAGGACUCUGUACAAUGGUUCAAGAAUCUAUUAAGCUCUUCCUGAACUGAAGAUAGAACUCAAGAUCCAUCCAUUUAGUUGAUUUAAUUCAUUUCACCUUUUAGACUCCGUACGAUCUUCAUAUCAACAAUAAGAAAAAUCUAAAGAUUGUAGAUAAUCCAUGACCUUUUAUUGUUAUUCAAAUUGAUUAAAUUGUAUCUACUAUUUGUAUGUUUCACAAAUUGAUUGAAUUGUAUCUACUAUUUGUAAAGAAGGAUCUAUUGUAUCCAAACAGUCCAGUGAUUUCAUUUCAUCUCUGAGCAUUCAAUAUGAUCUGAAUUCAGUAUAAUCUUCUAUACUAGCAAUGAGAAGAAUUUCAAGAUUGUUGAUUUUUCAUGAUCUUUUACUGCAAGCCAAAUUGGUUCAAUUGUACCUACUAUUUUAUGCUUGACAAGUUUGCAUUAAAGCUACCGUAGAAGUUUUGGGCAAAUGCAACUGCGGAACAAAGCUUAGCUUCAAUAAGUAAUACUACCCUUACAACGAUAAAUAAUACUACCCUUACAAACUAGUUUUGCAUGGUCAGGAUGGUCAUGGAUCGCACCCGAACCUUGAAUUAUGCAGACCACGGAUGACAUCCCAAUAGUCCCACAUGGAUUAUAUAUGUGAUGGACACACUAGAGCUAAUAACUUGAGCUAAUGUAUUUUGGGCCCGUGAUUUUGAACACAACAAGUUAUUGAUACUGGUGAGCUGGAUCGUUACAGCAUGGCCCACCUGUUUUCGGAAUGCGUAAACUCCAAACCGUGUGUGGGUGUGGUAAGACUACCCUCCAAUUUAAGAGAGGACGGGGGCAGGAUGAAGUAAGGGUUUACGGACCUCUGAAUGUACCAAGAUAUCCUCAUAAUGGUGGUUGUAUAAGUAUCAAUAAAUAAAACCAAACUAACAUCAACCACCUACAAGUUAAUUUCAUAGCUAACUUUUUAAAGUAGCAUUUCUAGGACAUUUUGCGGUUAGUCUUACCAACUGUUCAACCACCAAGAUUGAAAAUUUUCAACUAGAUCCUCAACCGAAGGCAUAAUAACCAUCUCAUUGUCCUAAAUACAUCAAGGACAAGCCCUAAAAUUGCAGGACACCCUUACUUAAAAAAAAAAAAAAAAAAACUUGGUUACUUAUUUCUCAAACCGCAGAUUAUCGAAAUUCAGAACAAAGAAUUUGAACUCAUGUGGGAUUAUAUUAAUACAAUAAAAACCAAUAGAACGGACAAAAUGUCCCUCUAGUAGUCACAGAUAUAAGAUGCACACAGAACAGAUGAGCGAUAAUUGAAGUUCAGCAAAAAGUACUCCAGAAUCUUGCACUAUUUGGUGUCAGAGCUUCUUUCCUCAUUGCAUACCUUAUUGCCGUGAAGACCCUGAAUAAAUAAUAAUUUCUUGGUACUCGCAAAAGAUAGGGAAGUAAAUUGAUUAAUGAACCUCCUCUAUGAAGCCAGAAUCCAUCAUCUCCUUCAGGGUUGAAUUAUAAGUAGGGGCUGGAAAAGGUGAAAGAUAUGAACAUGAGAUAGGAAAAGAAAAAGGUGGGGUAAAAGAAAACAGAAAGAUGCAGACUGUUUUCAUGAGAAAUCUGCAUAAAAGUGAGAUUAGAAAUACCAUGUCGAUGCUAACUGGUUUUCCAUCUUCUGCAAGAAUUUCCACCACUGUUCCUGAUUGAUCAGCCUGCAUGAAACAAGGGAUUAGGUGUAAAAUUUAACUCUUAGCCCAAGCAUUCAAAUGCACUUAUAACUUUCUUCUUCUUUUUGGCUUGGAGAGCCUGUUUAGUGCUUCUCCUUUUUUUUUUUUUUUUGAGUCUUCAUAUGGAAUAAAAUUUGAGCUGAUUGUUGAGUGCACAGCAUCUCAACUGAUCACAUUCUGCAACUUCUCAGUAAGUCCAUUGCCUAUUCAUAUUCCAAAUACCAAGCUUGGAAUAAAACUAACAGGUAUUUUUAUGUGCCUACUAUAGGUGCUGAGUAUCUUAAUAAGAAAAAUUAAAUAACUGUGUAGUGAAAAUUAAUCACCUCAAUCUCAUUCAUCAGUUUCAUGGCUUCAAUGAUGCAAACAACCUGUCCUUUCUGGACCUUAUCUCCAACCUAAAACAGAUAAAGGUGUCAGAUGGGCAUGAUUUUCCAUUCAGUAUAUUAAUAUCCCAGAGUAGCAGGGCACUGCAUGAGAAUGCUUUAAAUGUAGAGAGAGAGAGAGAGAGAGAGAGAGAGAGAGAAGAAAAUUGCAGUAUAUUCAUAAAUAGAAGCAUCAUGGGAGGCAAACAUUUACAUUAUUUACAAGGAGAAAAAAAAAGUGCAUUAAGGAAGAAGAGAGGAUACGAAGGAGACGAAAAUAAUUGCACUACCUCAAUGCAUGCACUGGAUAAGAAGAUUAGAUGCAUCACUAAAGUUAUCAUUAGAUGAAAGGAAAACAAUAAAAUAAAGAGAAACAUAAGCACAUAAUACCCAUGUAAUGUCCAUGCACAGAGUAACAUAAAUCCCUGCUUAGAUAUAUGAUAUGUUGUUUUUAUUGAUUAUGCAUAAGGAAACAGAAAUAUUCAAAUUUCGACAAAAAAAAGACCAAGUUUGGAAAGGUUACCUUAACAAAUGGAGGUUCUCCAGGUGCUGGGCUUUGAUAAAAUGUUCCAGCCAUUGGGCAUUUCAGAGGAGGAAGUGAUGAACUGCUCCCUUUCUUUGCAGUGGGAGGAGGAAGGGCCGGUGCUGCUGCUGGAGCUGCUGUAGAAGCACUUGCAGGUGGCGGAGGAGGAAUGGCUUGAGGAUAUGAAGGUUGAGUCGGAAACAUAGCUUGUGGAUGUUGCAUGACUAUGGGAGAUACAGCAGGGAUAGGCAAAGCCUCUUUCUUUCUUAUAACAAUCUCACAGUCAUUAUGCUUUAACAUCAGCUCAGUUACAUCCUUUGAAUCGACAAGCCUGUCCGAGGGGGAAAAAAAAAAACAUAAAGAAGAGAAAAAAUGGAAAGAAUGCUUAUUCAUGCAGUUCAUAAAGAGACCACGGAAAUUUUCCUCUUCUAAGAGCGUACUAGACCUCACUAUAUCGGGCUUUGCUUUGUACUCGAAAAUCUUUAAGAUCAGAAUAACUAGCAAAAGCUUAGUGCGAAAUAGAGAAUAAAGCAGGCUCCAUUUGCAGCAAGAGACUUAACCAACAAAAUAGUUUUUGUUUCUCUUGAGUUGUAAUCUUCUCAAUUUUCUUUAAUAAACUAAAAUUUCCUUUUCCUUUAACUUUGCGCAUUACGAUGAUGAGGAAUUACUUACUUUACAAGGUUUGAAACUUCAGCCAUAAAAGCAGAUAUGGUUGAAUCUGGUACUGGAGCUGGAGCACUGGAUUUGUUGAGUGCCUCAGAGUAAUUGGUAUCAGAGGAUAAACUUUCUGAUUUGGUGGAUUUGGCUGGCAAAGAGUUAGUCGAAACAUCGACAGCAACCUUGCAAGAAAAUAUGGCUUAAGCAGAAGUCAGAAAAGAAACAUUUGUCUAUAGGAUUGGACUCAAAUUGCAAAGAAGAAAUACCUCCUGAACCUGGGCCUUAAGAAUGGGGAAUCGUCUCUUUUCAUGGCCCUGCAAAGGAGUUAGAGAUCUUCAAAAUUAAAUUACAAUAUAGAAAGGAACGAGUAAUACGGAGCAACUUCACAUUAAUUAACCACUUCUGAAAUAUAGAUUAUGACCUAUAUACUGCCAUCAAAAUAUGACCUUUAUCCAUAAUUUGAGUUGCUACAGCGACAAAAUACCAUUUUCUAGAAGUGAACUGUUACAUAGAGGAUUGGACUCAAGGAACUAUUUUUGGGUACAUGUUUUACUGCAAGAAAAUGUUAAGGGGUUACAGUAGCAAGUUAAUCCUUCUUUAAUCUUUUCUGCUCUCGGUCUCAAAUACACUGUUUUCUUUCCAUCAUAAAUGGCGUGUUGUUUUAUCCACUCAAAUGUUUAUCAUCCAUUUUAAGUGAACUUCUUUGAUAAUUUAUCUUAGAUAUCAAAGUCAAUUCAACAGCAUUCACUGAAACUUCAAAGACGAAACUGAAACCAAGUUCACAGGUUAAGCUCCAUGAAUCUAAGUCACAUUUCGCGGACCAAUUGAAGCUCUGAGUAUGAAAUUGAAAUUGCAGUGGAACUCCAGGUUUAAAUUGCUACAACAUAAACUCCUACUAAGGACUAACUGGAUCAUGGCUCAAACUCCAGGGACUAACUCCGUAAUAGAAACAGCUUUCGCUGAAACCGACAACAAAAGCGGCUAAUAACGAAUUUCGCUGAUUCAAAUUCCAAUUUUUCUUAUCCACAUUCACAGCUACGCAUCAUUUCCAGCAACCAAAACCAUUGGAUUCAACAUAGAGAUCACAAUGUACUCGAAUCAAACCCGAGAAAAAGAAACGCACCUGAGAGAGAGGAAACCUCCCGGAUCCGGCGAUUACAAGGGAUCUAACAUCCGAAACGGAGAGCACGGAGCUCAUCGGCGCCGCCGCGCUCCGCCGAGGCGCGACUCCGCGGGCGGCGGCGGAGCACUUAGGGCACGGGAUUGAGAUCGACGCCAUGGUGAUCGCGAGGUGUGGGGCGAAGGGAAUUGGGAUCUAAACGCGGAGGGAUCGAAGGGGAGGGUUUAAAAGGAGGUGAGAGAGGAGACGGGGAGGAGGGAGAGGGGCGGAGGGAACGAAGCGAGAGAGAGAGAGAGAGAGAGAGAGAGAGAGAGAGGGAGGGUGAUGUGUGAUUUGGAUGGAGGUUGAGAGAUCUCCGCCGUUGGUUUCGAUGGAUCCGAGAGUGGUGAUGGGGGAGUGGGGCCCCCACAUGGUAUCAGGAUCUCCGCCCGUGUUGGGGGAUUAAAACGGAUGGCACGUGCCGGCCCAACGGUACCGGAUGCGGGGGCGGGCUUUUUUUUUUUUAAAAAAAAAACAAAUUCUAUCAAAUUUAUAUUUAUAUAAACAAUUAUCUCCUUAUCACGUGAGCAUUUAGGUGAUAUUUUUAAAUUGAACAUGAUAAUUCAAUCACCAUAUUUAAAUAUGGUGAUUGAAUUGCUAUAUUCUUUUUUAUUUUUUUUAUCCCUAAGUUAAAAAUAAAAGACUAAAGUGUGAGUAUGAACACGAUAACUAAAUCAGCGUGUUCAAUUUAAAAUUAUCAAUAUUGCAUUCACAUGAUAAGAAAAGGGUCAUAUACGUAAAUAUAAAUUUGAUAGAACCAUUUAUAAAUUUUUUUUGAAGAGUCUAAAUGUAAAAAAAAAAAAAAAAAAAAAAAAAAAAAAAAAAAAAAUAUUUUUUGUUCACAUUGUGUGUGUGCACGCCCGAGAUACCAUAGGAAGGAAUGUAAAACGGAUCAAGAAACCCAGCGUAUGGGAGAGAUAUCUGUAGGUAUUGGUGUAAAAAGGGAGCUUGCCCGGUUCAGCACGACAGUAGGUUAGAUUGCGGUCUGAUACGAAUACCGUACCAUUUAUGCCAGAUUUGUCUGACCCGCUAGAUUGGGCUGUACUGCACUAUGUCUUCUAAGCUUGUCGCGCAACUGAUUUGGGCUGUGUUGGACCGACAACUCGACCUAUGGCCCGGCACGGCAUGGCACGACUCGUUAGAGUAGGGAUGCAUAAGUGGAAUUCAAUCUAAGAUUGUGUUUGGAACUGCUGAACUUGAAAUGUGAACUCGAACCGCCUCGAGGAAGUGGCAUCAUCGAUUAAGAUUCGGUGAGGGCGCAAGCUUCAAUUCAAUCGGAGCUCACGACUUCGCCUUCCACUCACUUACUGUCGAGAUCCGCAAACAAGUAGAGCUUGCCGAUUCACGAUGGUUAGAACUUUUCUUUAAAGAAAACAGAUACUCAAGAGUUAGAUUUCAUAAACUAGAGAAAAAUAUACUUAUCAACUGCUCUAAAUAAUGAUAAUGUAGACACAUAAGUAUUUAAGAGAGAUAGAAAAGAAGGGAUAGAAGAAUAAGAUUAUAUACUUGCAAAAUCGAAUGUGACUAUUAUUUACACUAAAAUAAUUAAUUGUUUUGAACAGUAUGAUGGAUCUCGCCCUUUAAUGAUUUUCAUGAAUCUUUUAAAUAUAUAAUUUGGAUUUAUUUAUUAGAUGACUCAAAACUAUAUUCCAAUUAUAGUCCCGAAUUUUUAAAACUUUAAAUUAUCAAAGUACUGACCUUUGAAUAAAUAAAAUUGUGUGUAAAUUUAUUUUGUAUGAUUCAGAAUUUAAUAAAAAUUAUUUUUUGAAAAAAAUGAGCAAAUGUAAAUCAACAUUUCUCAAAUAUUACAUAUUAUUGGUUACAAAUAUUAUCCAUACAUUUCUACCUAGAAAAGAAAGAAAAGGAACAAAAAAUAAAGGGACCAAGUUGCAAUAUCGGAUUGUACAGGUAUUAUGCAUACAUUUUCCCCUUAAUAAAUCACUUCUAUUAUGGUUUUUGGGGGCCCCACGCAAGCGGUAUCUCGAAGCGAUUUUGACCGCCGCAGAGAUCCCAAAUUCAACGGUCAAAGAUUCAUCGCACCGAUCAGAUCUAGCGACGCGUGGCACGAGAUUCACCGCCCGAUGUGAUGGACACCGCCACGGAUAUAAAUACGUGCGCUCCACCGUCGCCGUCUAUCAAUAGCUGGGUCCGAUGAUCUUACAAUCAACGGUCCGGAUUCGACCGAAUGGAAGCUCAGUGGGCCCCACGAAGAGGACGGGAAUCGUACGCUAACGUUGGGCUCGCUCAACCCAGAUAGUUCGAUUCCCGAAUAAAUAGACCUGAGUCAUUUUAAACUAAAUAACAUUUUACGUGUACUUGAUGGUAAAUGUGCCGGAAAACCCCUCAAGUAUAAAAUAUUCUGAAAUUAGCUCAUAUAGUUUUAUUUUUAUUUUUUGAUUGACGAUCCUUAACUUUUAUUUUUUUUUAUUUGGAUUUUUGUAGUUUAAAUUAUUAAAUUCAAUUUGGUCAAAAUUUUAAUCUAUUCAACUCAAAUCACUUAAGUUCAAAAAAAUAUUUAAAAGUUGAGGGGGUCUCAAGUAAUAAAUAGUUGGGCAAUUGUUGAGGGGUCUUCAUACGUUUCUACUGUAAUUAAUUAAUAUCUAAUUAUAAUUAGUUUAGAGUAAAUUAAAAACUUUCUCAGAUCAUCAAAUUUAUUAAAUUUAAUAUUUUUGAUAACUUUUAAUAUAUCUAAAAAAGAAAAGUUAAAAAUUAACAGCUAAUAAAAUAAUUAAAUUUUACAUAAUUUUUAAUUUUAUAAAUUAAAAUAUACUUAUUGAGAAAUACUAAUUAGAAGAACUCAAAUAAGAAAAUAUUAGAGGUUACGAAAGUAUUGAUUUAAUAAGAAUAGAGUAAAGGGGUGGCUUUCAAAAUAUCCUAUAGUUGAGGGUGUUUCCACACAUUUUCACCUAAGCUUGAUUUGUAGUUAAUUGAGUAUUAAUUAUUAAUUGAACUUAAUAAAAGCGAAACGGUGGAGAAAAGGGGCGGAGAGAGAAUGAAGAAGAGGCGAGCGGUGAGAUCGGAAUUGGGGAUUUCGCUGGCGAAGUCGAUUUCGAUUUUUUGCUGUAAGAACAUUUCGUCUUCUUUUUUGUUUAAUUUUAGCUUUUCCACUCCCAAUUUGAUCUUGUUCGCAUAUUUUCCUGCUUUUUUUGCCUGAUCGAUUCGUUUGAUUUGAGUUCGCUUUUGAAAGCAAUGAUCUAUUAGGGUUGUAAAAAUCAGUGUCGAAUCUUUCUUUUUUUUUUUGAUUUGGUGUUGAUUGUAAGUUUGGAUCGUGGUGAAUUUGACAAUUUUGGGAUAAGUAAUUAUGUUUAAGCAUUAGUGUGGAGUAACUUCAAGGAUGAGGAGUCAUACUUAGGAAGAUCAUUGUUUAAGACGGAGCACCUUUAAAAUUCCAAUUUUUUGUUACUUUUUUUUUUUCUUUUAUAAAAAAAAAAACUGUUUGUUUUUUGUUUUUAACUUGGUAAAAUGGCUGUUUACUAACCAAUUUUAUAGUGCAGUUGUAUUGUUCAUUUACUGUUAAUUACCUCACUUGUGUUUCUACUACUGAUUUGUGAAAAAACAAGUGAAAAUUUAAAAUUAAGAGAUCUAAUUGGGCAUUUGUUAAAAUGCAUGUUAUAUGCUAAUUUCUUCGUUUGAAGAGGGCUAGAUGCUUCCACAGUGAUAUGUUAGUUUAAUUUAAUGUAGUCAUGUGAGGCUACAUUUGCCGCAUGUUUAUUUCAUAUAUGCUUCUUUAAUCAGUAGGUUUAUUUCUAGCUUCUUCUCGUUCUCUCUGUUCAUUUACUCUGCGAGACAAAAUGAUAAAAAAUGUGUAGAAAUUUGUGUAAUGAGCAACAAAGGGAAAGAUACUGCGGAGGAAGAAACAUAAUGUUGUGACUAUAAUAUCAUAUCACAUUAAAGUUGUUAGAAUUAAGUCAUAGUGUAAUGUCUUUUGAAAACCACAGAAAGCAAUGGGAAUAAUCGAAUGAAAAAGAAGAAGGAUAAUAGUAAUCGUAUUCUAUGAAGUUUGGGUUUAGUACAGGAGCCACUCUUGCUUUAACUUAAUUAGCUCAGAAUGUUACUUCAUGACCUAAUUCUCCUAAUUUUUUGGUGCGUAUCAUUCCUAUGGGAUCUCAUUUAUAUUCUUUUGGUUUAGGUUCUAUAAGCUUGGACACUGGUAUUGGGGUUCCGUGUAUUUUUUCUGCUCAGAUAGAUAGAAAGGGAGCUGUCACGAUAAAACUGCUGUAUCAAUGAUCAGCAGCUCCAACUCACACAUAUAACUCAUAUAUUACUUACCUACUUAUAUUCAUGUUUUUCAUUUGGAACAAUCUAUUCUAUUAUCUUGGGAGAUCGAAGUUUUAUCUUGGCCUGUCUACUUGAAAGACUGGUAGAACUUGCGAAUGCUACAAGCAUGUGGCAGAUGAAUAAGUUCCGCAGAAAAAUCAGGUUCUACUGGUUCAUGGUUUCGCCAUAAUUCACUUUAUGUGGAUUCUGGCGUUGAGGCACUAAAAAAUGGGCAGUAUUAAAGAGAGAUUGAGAACACGGCUGCUGGAUUGGGGCAGCAGCUCUGAUGAUGUGGCUGAGAUAUGGAGUUCUAUCAUCACUUACUUUACUGCUAUCUCCAUCAGUCUUCUGACUUUCUUGUACCUUUUCUCCUUAUGGAGGCGAAACAUUAGUUUGAGCUGGAUGAAAACUAUAGCGAGAUCAAAGAAGCACUCAAAGGCCAAACAUAAAGCUCCCGUUGCUGCUCAUGUUUGGAUAACGGAAUCUUAUAAUCGUGCAAAAGGUCUAAAGUGUUGUGUGUGCCUGGAAUCUAUUUCACCCGUGCAACCCCUCGGGCAGAUGAUUACGUCAGAACUUUCGAUCCAUCGCUGUGAUGUUUGUGGGGCAGCUGCUCACAUUACCUGCUCUCCAAAUGCCCAUAAAGAUUGUAAAUGUGUUUCUAUGGUUGGUUCUCAGCAUGUGAUUCACCAGUGGAUUGUUUUAUGGGCGGAAAUGGCCGAUCGAUCAGAGGAGACUCCUUGUUGCAGUUAUUGUGAAGAGCCUUGUGGUGGGUCUUUUCUUGGUGGACCCCCUAUUUGGUGCUGUAUGUGGUGUCAAAGGCUAGUGCAUGUUGAUUGUCAUUCCUUGAUGGCUGGUGAAACAGGUGAUAUUUGUGAUUUGGGACCAUUUAAGCGCCUUAUCUUGUCACCUCUUUAUGUAAAAGUUAAAAGUGGAGCAGGUGGCGGAUUUUUGAGCUCUAUUACGCAGGGUGCAAAUGAAUUCGCUUCUACUGUUCGAGGACAUAUCAGGAGUCAGAGUAAGAGGUAUAAGCAGCACAAUAAGUUACCAGCAGAUUCAGCCAAUACAAACAGUGCUAAUGAUUCAUCUUCAGAAAGCGUGGCAGAUGGACAUUUAACUCCUACGGCAUCAAAAGCUAACGGGACACAUUAUGAUGCGAACGGUGAUCCGGGGAUCCAGCAUGAGAGUAGUGAAAGUGAUUAUAAAGAGGAGAAAGAAUUGCGUCCAAGAAGAAGUUCAUCAUUUAAUCAAAUGGAGGAUUCCCAGAUGGGUGGGACUAACCAAAGAUAUGAAUUGAUUGAUUUACCACCUGAUGCGAGGCCUCUAUUAGUUUUCAUCAACAAGAAAAGUGGAGCCCAGCGUGGAGAUUCGCUCAGACAUCGUUUGCACUUUCUUCUAAAUCCUGUACAGGUCAGAUAAUUAUAAAGUACCAUUUUUAAUACCAUCACCAGUACAAGUUAACGGCAUAUACACUAUUGUGUUAGUUAAGAAAAACUCCCCCAUGGUAUAGCCUGUUUGCAAUUCCGCACCAUGCGAUUCAAAAAAUGGCACACUGCCCUGUGUGGUUACUGUUUUGGUUUUCUGUGGGGACUUACUGUUGAAGUGUUGUGAAAAGUGAGCACAUGCCAUUGCAUUCUAAUAAACACUGUACAUCUUCAGAAAGCCCCUUUAACACUUUGCUAUCCUUUUUUUCACGGUAUUUCAUAGCAGGUCUAUUUGGGAAACCGAAACAACAACCGUAAAGGGGCAAAGUGCUGCACUUUGAACCAUAGGAUAGUAAAGUGCAAGCGAGCUAUGGCGCAGUGAAGAUUUGAAAGUUUUGCCUAUGUUAUGUCUAGUUUUUAUGUUUUCUUAACAGUAGAGGCAACAAUUCUUCUGGCCAUGAUUGCUUCACAAACUUGUCUAAUGUUUUCUCCUAGGUCUUUGAGUUGAGUUCGGCACAGGGCCCUGAAGCAGGACUUCAUUUGUUCAGAAAGGUACAGCACUUCAGAAUUCUUGUUUGUGGUGGAGAUGGCACAGUUGGUUGGGUUCUUGAUGCCAUCGACAAACAAAAUUACGAAUCUCCUCCACCAGUUGCGAUUCUUCCCGCCGGCACUGGUAAUGAUCUAGCUAGGGUUUUGUCCUGGGGAGGCGGUCUCGGUGCUAUAGAGAGACAAGGAGGUCUAUGCACGAUUUUGUACCACAUAGAGCAUGCUGCGGUCACCAUUCUUGAUAGGUGGAAAGUAACAAUAGAAGAUUCACAGACAAAGCAUGCCCGCUCCAUAAAAUAUAUGAACAAUUAUUUAGGUAAAUUAAUCCCGAGCUUCUAAGGGUGUGAGAAGUAAUUUUUUGAAAAUGCUUAUCUUGCUUUUGUGGUAGGGAUCGGGUGUGAUGCAAAGGUUGCUCUUGACAUUCACAAUCUUCGUGAAGAAAACCCUGAAAAGUUCUAUAACCAGGUAGGCUUCUGCAUUUUUUUGUUUGUUUCCUGAGAUGACCGGAAGCUCCAAACUGCAUUUUUUUGGCUUUCCCCUCUACCGAGUCAAAGGAAAUUAGCUCUAAAAGUUUAACUUUUAUGGCGCAGUUCUUAAAUAAAAUGCUUUAUGCGAAAGAAGGGGCGAAAGCCAUCAUGGAUAGAACAUUUGCAGACCUGCCUUGGCAAAUCAGAUUGGAGGUAGAUGGCGUUGAGGUGGAAAUACCUGAGGUGCGUUUUAUGUGCAGUUCAUCCUCUUUCUCGGUUUUUCUUUUCUUUUCUUCUUUUUCUGGGUUGCAUUUGAUCUCCACCUGUGCUUUAGUAGGCAUGUUCAUAAUUUUGAGGUCCAUUGCAGGAUGCUGAGGGUGUCCUUGUUGCGAAUAUCGGAAGCUACAUGGGUGGAGUCGAUCUGUGGCAAAAUGAAGACGAGAAUUAUGACAAUUUUGAUCCUCAGUCCAUGCACGACAAGAUGAUUGAAGUCGUGAGUAUCAGUGGAACAUGGCAUCUCGGGACGCUUCAGGUAAUCAGAUGGCUUUCAAAGCAUAAAUUUUUUCUUUCCAAAUGAAGAAUCAUUAUGGUUGUGCUUGUGACGGGGAACUGCAUUGGCAGUCUGCAGAACUGCAGUGUUGUCCACAGCUGGGCCAAACAGCCGGCUCACUCAAAGCCUAUUACUCUACUAUAUGUUGUCUAUUAAACCAAUGAAAUUCUGCGUGCCGAACUAGGUUGGACUUUCCCGAGCUCGGCGGCUGGCGCAGGGGCAAUCAAUAAAGAUUCAGCUGUUCGUGCCCUUCCCUGUUCAGGUCGACGGCGAGCCUUGGUUCCAGCAGCCUUGCACAUUACUGAUAUCUCAUCACGGGCAGGUUCUACUUCUGAUUAUUCAUAUUUACCGAUGAUAUAUUGCUAAUUUAUAUUACGGUAAAUUGCAACUUUUCACCUUAGUUUCGUAGUUCCACGCCAAACAGAUCUUAUAAAUGAGUCCAAAAUUUGCAUGCAUGUGAGAAUCUGAAGGUCGAGAACCUCGAUGCAAUUUACCGCCUAUUCUAUUGUUCAGGUUUCUCAUCUUAAUCUUACGCUACUCCACUGCUCCUCCCUCAGGCUUUCAUGUUGAGAAGAGCCGCGGAAGAGCCUCUCGGUCACGCCGCCGCGAUAAUUACCGACGUUCUUGAAAACGCCGAGACGCGCAGCAUCAUUACAGCUUCGCAGAAGAGGGCCCUUCUUCAAGAAAUGGCUCUAAGGCUUUCUUAGUGCUGCAUAAAUUUUUGCCGCGCGGAAACACAAAGAAACUAAAACUCAUAUACUCAAAUCCUAUCUCUUGCCUUUAUCUGAGGUUCAUUGAGCACACAGUAUAGAAUCAAGUGUUACAGGUUUUGUACAUAUUUUUAAGUUAUUUUUUGUCAAAUUUUAGAUGGUUUUGGCCUUUAAUAGUUGGUAUAAUUAAAGUUAUAUUGCUUGUAAUUUUAUGAUGCGAUCCUUUACUUUUUGCUAUUGGCCUAGUAGGACCCUUUUUUUGUGUGUGUGUGUGGAAAGAGUACAUUAUGGGGAUGUGAUUGAUGAGAUUUCUAGUUAAAGAAAAGUUAUAUUAAAUGAUUUCUAGUUAAAUGGAAAGUAAUUGUUGUGGUAAAAUUUAUGGAGACCCCUUCAACUAUAGGAUAUUUGGAAAUGCAAUUUUCAACUAUUUUUCUUGUACCUUAAUGUAUUUUUCUUUUCUUUUUUUAAAGGUUUAUUUUUUAUUCUUUUUGUUUACUUUUUUUUUCUUUUUGUCAAAUAAAUUGUCAACACUUUCUAAGCUGGUGGAACUUCAAAUGAUUGAUAGAUAGCUACAAGUAAAUUUAGAAAAUAGUUUAAAGUUUAUAUAAUUGAAAAUUAAGUUUUAAUAAGUAAAAAAAAAGAAUUUUUUUAACUAAUGGACUUAGAAAAUAAAAGUAUAAAAAUAGUCCGCUAAAAAAAUUAUUUACAAAAUUAGAUCUAUACACUGAAUGAAUUAUAGUUUUCUAAAUAUGGUAAAUUAUUUACCCUUUUUUUUAAAGGAUUAAACUAUUUUUAGUAUUUAAUAUCAUAUAUUUUUUUAAAUUUGGAUAUAAAAAUAAACAAAUUAGAAUAAAGCGGUAAAUCACUCAUCGCUUUUAAAAAGCGGUAAAUAAUUCACCGCUUUUAUCAAUUUUAUAAAUAAAAAUUUUGGAUACCUAUCUUUAUAUUUAAAAGUUUUUGUAGGCGUAAUCGUCCAAAAACUCCAAAAAAAAAGUUAUAAAGAUCUCGAAAGUUCUUAAGUUCAAUGUCUUAAUUAUUUAUAUUUCUAGCUGAGUUUAUGUUUUAUAAAAGUAAAUAUUAUCUGCAAAUAAUUCUCAUACUAGAGAUUUUGAGCUAUAUUUGACUCGAUCAAAACAUGCAAGGAGGUGAACGAAUUGUUCCAUUUGGCACGGUCAAAAAAUGACCAGUUCACCCAAAAUCAUGUGAGUUUUUUUUUUUUGUUUUUUUUUUGGUUUUUUGGUUUUUUUUUUUUUCUGGGGAAAGGGGGGUAAACAUGUGUGUUGAAAUUGACCAUUUCUCAAUAUUUUACCCUGUCAUUGAUCGUGCACGAUUUAAUUUAAACGGGUGACGUGUUUUGUUUGAACUCCUUAUUUGGAUAUGUAUGCAAAAAAAAAAAAAGAAAGAAAAAAUAAAAUCAGGUUUGGUGUCAUGUUUAUUUUUUAUUUUUUUAACAAUAAUUCUACAUAUAAUUUUAUGUGUUGGAGUAAAUAUUUUCUUAUUUAUAUAAAAGUAACUAGCUUAUGAUGUACCUAGCUAAAUGAUAUGUUGAUAUAUGAUAUUUUAUUUUCAAAAAGAACUUAGAAGUAACAAAAAAUUGCUUUCAAAUUUUUACUUUUGUUGCCAAAUAAACACUUUAAAUAAAAGAAAUUGUGAACAAUUUAUUGUCUUGCUCUUACACCUUUUGAUAUACAAAAUUAUUUAAAAAUAAAAAAUAAAUACAAUACUUAAUGAAGCCUAAAAAUGGUUCCUUUUGAUCAAUCCUGAAGUUUAGGGCAUACACACUUUGCCAUCAUAUAAUUUUAAAAGUUAUAUUUUAUUAUACAAAUUUGUCAUUAAAUAGGAAAAUAAAAUAGGCUAAUUCAUCUAGUCUGAGGUGGUUGGACGACAUCUCUGAGUUCCCGUCCAAAUUCCUAGCCCAACUUCACUAGGCGGGCAGCCGAAGAGGCACUAAACCGAUAGUCUUUUGUGGGAGAUGAAGGAUUAUACAACUGCUGCGAUCAAUACUUCUAAAGUUGCCAGGGAAACCCAAAGACCAUGAGACAACUUUUGGAUUCAUCUUGUAUUAUAUGUGGACCAUUUUCUAAUAAGUGUUAGUGAGUAGCCUUUGUUUGGUUGGGGGUUAAGGGGUGGAAUAACCCUUAACCCCCAUAUUAUUCCCAAACAUCCCAAAAAAUGGAUGGGGUUAGCUAACCCCACCUCAAAUGGGCUAUCUCGGGUUAGCUAACUCCACCAAACCCCAACCAAAUACUAUUUUCUUUUCAUAAUAACCCACUAUUCUUCUUAUCCCACUUACUCCAACAAAACAUUAUUUUUCACUUUUCUGGACUAACUCCAACCCCCAACCAAACACAAAAAUACUCUAAUCCCACCUUAAUCCUGAAUUUAACCCUAUUCCUGGAAUAACUAGUUUUUCCUUAACCCCGAACCAAACGGUAGUCAGGAUUAGUGGGUGAGUUGAUACAGGCUCGUUAUCGGUUGAAUCAGUGUACUAUGUGUGUCUAUAAAGGAGGGUUGGCUAAGACCAAAAGAGAGUAGAGAGACUGUAUUCGUAAUUUUUGCUUCUAAAUAAUAGUACUUAUGUUUUUGGCAUAAUGUAUAUUCCUCUCUCCCAUUUUUUUUGUUUGCACUUAGUCUUUGAGGGCGCAAAGGUCCAGACUAGCAAAGAUCGAGACAGUCUUGCCCAUCUUUGAGUAGGAAGGCGAGCGCUGUACGGGUUUUGACAAGCAAAAAUCACUAAAUUCGUGACACCCAGCUUUAAAAGUAAACAGUUAUGUUUACUUCCGCAUCGUUUUCAGCCGUAAAGUAUCUGAAUCGAAAGUCGACACAGUUAAAUAUGAUCUAUGCUACUUGAGAUUAUUUGGUACAAAAAAAGGAGUUAGGCUAUAAUACUUCUAAAACUAAAAGGUCAUACUUACUUUCGCGUCGAUUUUGAUCAUGGAGUAUCUGAAUUGGCGAUCAAUGCUGUUAAACUUAAUCUACGCUAUUUUGAGCCCAUUUGAUAAAUAAUAUUGAAAGAUUAUAAAAUUUUAAUUUUUAACACAUUCAAAUAAUCUUAGAUCAUAUUUAAUAGUAACCAUUGUCCAUUUGGAUGUCCCAUGGCCGGAGACAAGGAGCAAGCAAACCGUCUAGUUUAUUUUUUCUAAAGUUUUCUAGCCAUACCUAUUAAAUGAGCAGGGCUACUGUGCUAUUAGAAGCACAGCAGUCCUCGCGCUCCUAACUUUUUAACUACCCAUCAAUUUUAAUGAAUGGUUAGGAUGAGAGAUAGGAGAAAUUGAUGAGAAAUUGGGUGUCUCAAUUGUUUUUCUUUUUAAAUUUCUCACCAAUUUUUAUUUUCUCUCUUAUUGUAAUCACUCAUCAAAAUUGAUAGGUUGUUAGAAAGUUAAGAGAAUAAGGACUGCUAUACUCCUAAUAACACAGUCGCCCUACUCCCCAUAAAAUAGUAUAUUUUAUAAACCAAGAGACACUAAAAUGCAACAUUUUUAUUAUGUUAUGGUCCCCAUAUUGUUUAUUAUUAUUUUUUAAUUUGUACAAUGUAAACAUGACAAUUAAAUAAAAAUUAAAUUAGAAAAUAAAAUGGAAUAAUUAAUAGAGCACCGAAUUGAAACGCACCUAACCUUAACCGCAAUGUUAGUGAUGUAUCCCAACUAAAGUAGUAGCCCAUGUGAUGCACAUGGCUUGAGAUUUGGUAACAAGUCAUUUGCAUCAAUCCAAAAAAAAAAGGCAAAAAAUUAUAAUUCAAUCAAAGAUAGCUAAAAGUAAUCGUUUUAAUCCAGUUUCUGUUGUUUGCAGAUGUCGAAAUAAGUUAUCCAAUAAUUAUUUAUUCGGUGUAAUAGUUAAAACAAAAUGAUUUUAUUUUGACUGAUUGUAUUUAGAGUUGAUUAAGAACUUAACAGUCGGUAUUCAAAGUUUUAAGUUUGAAACCUAAUUACUUUAUAGUUCUAGCUUAAUACAUCUGAAUAUAGGAGUCCGGCUGGGGUACUAUCGAUAGCACUGAGGAUUUGAUACUAUCGAGUUUUCUACCGUUAGAUUUAACCCUUUGAUUAAUUUUAUCCGUUAGAUUAUACUAUUCAACCAACCACCCAUUCAAUCCUAGAGGGCUCACAUCAUGCUAACCGUAUAUUUUUCAAUCCAAAAACUAAAAAACUAAUAGCAUCAAUGGCUUGGUGCUAUUAAUAAUAUCCCAGCCUAAUUCCUGAAUAUAGUAAGUUGCAAUAUCUUAUAGUAGCAUAAAAGGACAUUUUACCCUUUACAUGAAAAUUAUAGGAAAAACUUCAAAAACCUCCCAUGUGGUUUCGUAGUUUCUCACUUUGCCCCCCUGUGGUUUAAAAUGUAUCAAUUUGCCUCACUGUGGUUUUGUUUUUCUCUUUUUCUUAUCAAUUUCAUUAUUUUUUUUCCUUAAAUCAGUAAUAAAGUUAAAAUUAAAAGGUACUAAAGUGAAUAUUUGAUAAAUCUAGAUGGGCAUCUGAAGUUUUUUGUAUAUAAUUUAACGAAAUAUUAACGAAAAAGCUACCGAAAAGAUAAAAACGAAACCAUAGGGGGGCAAAUUGAUACACUUUAAACCAUAGGAGGGCAAAGUGAGAAACAACGAAACCACAUGGGGGGUUUUUGAAGUUUUCCUAAAAUUAUAUGGUAGCAAAAUUGAAAAUCCAAAAUGGGACAAAGUGGAUCCAUGAGAGGCGUAAAACUUCAGUGGAGAGUUUUCUGACAAAAUUUCGUUGAAUAGCUUUCGAUCCGUUGUCAUAUAUCAAUUUUGUCUCAAUCCAAAAAUCUGUUGAGUAUUUUUAAUACCAAAAUCUAAAAAUAAAAUCUUAAAUCUUAAACAAAAAUAUGCGCAAAUUUGUAUACGUUGGUGAUUUGGUGCCAUUUCCCAUCAUAUGCACUGUUAAAUUAUUCUUUUCAUUAAUAUUUUAGGAUUAAUUUUAUAUAGCUUAAUGUAAAUAUAUAUCGAAUAGAAAAUAUAUUUUUAUAAAGUAAAAUUUUUUAUAUUUAUUUUCAUAAAAGUCCAGUAAUAUUUAUAUAUACUUUUCUGAUUUGUUACCGAGUAAUUUUUAUUUUUUAUGAUUAAUUUCAUACAGGCCCCUUCAAAUAUAGUACAUAAAAAAUAUAUCUUUACAAAAUUAAACUUUCAUAUGUUGUUCCUACAAAAAUUUUAAUGUUUUCAAAUAUACUCCUCUGGUUUAUUACCGUUAGAGAACCAUUAGAGAAUCAUUUAUAUUUUCAAAUAUAUUCCUCUGGUUUCAAAAUAUUUUCAUAUAUAUUUGCUAUUUACUAUAUUUGCAGAAACUUGUAUGAAAUUAACCCUAUUAUUUAACAGAGGAUAAGUGAAAUGACAUUUUUGUCAUCACAAAUAUAUCUCUCUAAAAGUCCCAAUAAUUAAAACUAUGCAGAAAUAUUUUUUCAAAAAUUUUCAACGAUCAUCUUCUUUCUUAUGCCAUCAUAAAUAAUAUAAAAGCAGUUAAAAAAAAGCUUAAUUUAUCUCAUUCACUAAUACGGAUUAAGUAUUUUAUUUAUGAUUAACUAUGUUUUCUAACGGAUCAUAACAGUAGGAGUAUAUUUAAAAAUAUUAGAAUUUUUAUUGGAAUAAAUAUAAAAAGCUAAACUUUGUAGAAAAUACCUGCUAUUCGAUAUGUUUACAGUGAGCCGUAUGCAAUUAAUCUAAUAUUUUAUCCACCUGUUCGAUCUACUCGCUUCUGCAGUGGUCAAAAUUCAAAUUCUCUUCCACUUCUUCUAUAUACAUACGCCCUUAAAACACACACACAAAUUAAAACAAAAAGAAAAAAGAAAAUAAAAUUCUCGAUGCCAAACACAUUUUUAUUUGGUCUUCUAUUUUAACCGACACGACCCGUACACGACGACAAAGUCUAAGAACAGACACAAUUUAUUAGAUAUGGACUUGGACUUUGCAGUGUGGUUUGGAAUGAUUGGGAUUGAUUCCCACAACUGUGAAAAUAGCUUUGUAGUUGUAGGACCAUUUCUGUGGAAAGCUACACGAGGAUCGCUUCUUCCUCUUAGCUCUGUUAAGUUUUCAUAAAUCAGCAAGCGAUUUCUCUGCAUUGAAGCAGUUUGUCAGAGACUUAAGAAAAAUUUUAGCCUGACUCAAGUUCUUGGCCGAACUUCAUUAAGGGAUCGUUUGGUUGUAUGUAGUUGUAACUGUAUUGUAUUUAUAACUGUACGUAAAUACAAAUUCGGUGUUUGGUUUGAUGUAUUUAUUUCAACUGCUGCAGUAGGAACUACAGGAGGAGGCCCAACUAUAGCAGUUCGAAUUACGCCCAAAUUGACCGCAGUUUCAACUGCCGCAGUUAGAGAAAGUAACUUUAAAUAAAAGAUAUACUUACCUACUCAAUAAUUUUUAAACAAAAAUUAUUUUUCUUUUUUUUUUUUUAACAUUGGAGAUAAUCUCACCAUCGUAUAUAUAAAAUUAUAAAAUUUUAAAAAUUAUUUAUCAACUGCAUGCAACCAAACAAAUUAUUUAUAGUUACAGUGCUUUCUACUACAUUCAAUCAAGCAGAAUUAUGUAGUUGUAACUAUUGUAUUUUCAACUACAUACAUCUUUAACUACAGUACAUUUAUAAUUACAUCUAACAAAAUGGCCCCUAAGUGAGCAACUAAAGAGGCAUUAUUUAGGAAGCUUCUAUGAGAGAUGAAAUAUUUUGACACUGCAGAAGUUAAAUGCCUCAAGAAACGGUCUCAUGGAAAAUCUGAACUCAUGAGCAAUCUUUGAAUUUACUUUGCAUUAAUGUAGGCAGCUUUCUUAAUUUGUAUCAUAUCGGGAUAUAAAUAGGAGAAUGGCUGAGGUAAAAGUCGAUAAGGGAGAGUGCAUCUGUAAUUUCUGGUUUCAGAUAAUAGAGUACUUAGUUUUUAACAGAACCUCUAUCUCUCUCUACUCUGUCUUUUGCACUUAGUCUUCAAAAGCUAGUAGGUUCAGACUAGUCAGAUCGAGACAGAUUUGUCCAUCUUCAAGUAGGAAGGCGAGACGCCACACGAACUUUUGCGAGUAAAAUCACUGAGUCUGUGACAAGGCGCGUGUAUUAGCCUUUUUGGUAGAAGCAUUUAUGUUUUUUAAUAUGCACACACACACACACACACACACACACACACACACUAAUGAAGGAGUACGAGCCAUCGCUACUCAGAACCUGCUUAUUUUGUAUGUAAUUACAAAAACAUGUAAUUAGAAAGAGCACUACUAUCUACACAUCCAAUCAAUACCAAUACAUUAAAGGGCGAACCGAAAACUCGCUCCACAGUGCGUCCGCGUUUUAGGUUCCAGUCUCUCCGCAUUUUCCGCUCCCUGUUUUCGGUCCUUUAUGUCCGCCUUUUCGCUUCCCCCUCUGGCACUGUACCUCUUCCUUACCUCUCCUCUCCGCGUCUUUCCGCUGGCACUGUACUUCUUCCUUACCUCUCCUCCGCGUUUUCGGCAUGUGGGCCCCUUGCGCAGCAGCUUCUCCCUCUCCCUUUCUCGCGAACCCUAUGUUCUCCUACCGUUACCGUCUACGCAGAUCCGCCGCUUCCCCGGAAAUUCCUCUCUCCCUGGACCGUACGCCUGUAUCUACCCAAAACGGCGCAUUUAAUGGCGCCGCGCAACUCCGCUGGCACUGUACGUCUUCCUUACCUCUUCUCUCCGCGUUUUCGGCACCUCUCCGCGGAUUCGCUGCUUCCCCGAAAAUCCCUCCCUCCCUCGCCCGUACGCCUGUAUCUACCCAAAUCGGGGCAUUUAAUGGCGCCGCGCAACUCCCGUCGGUGCAUUAAAUGCCACCCAUCAACCCGUCGCUUCGCCGGAGAUGGUUUCCUCCCUUCGCCGUACAUGUUUGUAUAUUAUAGAUCUGGGCAUUAAAUGCCCCGCCGGAUCCGCCCCUUCUCCGGAGAUCGCUCGCUCUCUCCGGGCUGGGGAUCAUCCUGAUCUCCACUGUACCUUCACUGUCGCGUCGUCCCGCUGUCAUCUCAGGAUGGUGCGCCGCUGUGAGCCGGCGCCCUUCCCUUGCUCUCUUCGCUUCUCUUUUGGUUUGUUCCAAUGCUGGUAUGUAUAUAUAUAGACUGUUGGCCGGUAAGUUUUGAUGCCCAGCAAAAUUUGGUUUCCUACCUUGCAAUCUUUUCUUGAGAGUGGUGCUGACGCAAGAAAGGAGGUCGGGUUCUCUGGAGGUUUCCUUGCUUGCUUCCUAUUUUGAUGUUCUCUGUCUAUGUGCAUGCCUGGAUUUGCUGAUGUUUGGGUGCUUCGAUGUUUGGUCGCGGUCUUGCACGCGGUUCCUGCUUCGCUUCCUUCUCGCUUUUCUUUUUUCCAUCCGCAAUGGCAUGGCAGUCGAAUGGCUUCCGAGCAAUUGCUGCAGCCUGCGAGCAAGGCAAUGAUGAUAUCGGCAAUACUUGAAAUCUAUCUUACCUUUAUCCGCAAUGGCAUGGCAGUCGAAUAGCCUCAGGGUGAUCGCUGUAGCCUGCGGCUAUUAGUGCAGAAAUCCGGUCCAUAUAAAUCUGAGCCUUGCAUUAUGUUUUCUCAUAUUUUUGGUUUCCCCUUCCUGGCUUUUGUCUCAAUUUGUUUUUUCCCUAAAUUUAACAAUCCAAAGUUUUUUGCUGGCCAUUAAAAAUCUGCGUACCUCCGCCAGUCAUUUCUACUAGCUUUCCUUACUCUUUACAAUUGCCUUCUGGGUUACAAGUAUUUGCUUUAUACCUUGAAUAUGUCCAAAAAAAUAGUUGCCGGUAAGCUUACAAGUAUUUUCAGUGUAUCUUGAUUAUGUCCGAAAAAAAAAGGCCCUCUCGAUGUGCUUCCUUACUUUCUGCACUAAUUGCUUGGGUAUCUAUAUAGCUGUUUUUAUUUCUUACAAAGGGACUGAGAAUCUAUAAACAAGCUCUAAGAAAUAUCUACCUUGCAAUUGGCUCUGGAAUUUAGCCAUACACUUCAGGUCUUUGGAGCUACCUACCUUGCAAUUGACUCACACAUUCUCGACUAAGUCCAGAGCUAGGAGAUAUUGAAAUAGGCCUACUGUUUUUUGUUUGUCUUAUUUGUUGUAUUUUUUAUGGUUAAAUUGUUCACUGCUUACAGUAAACUUGGGCCCCAUUGAUUUUGAAUCCUGGCUUCACUCAUAUUUCUUAAUGUACCUCACAUACGACCAGGAAUGGAUGCUUUUCACUACCAAUAAAUUUUGGAUUAGCUAAAAUAACUUAGCCUUAGGUAUUUCUGAGGCACUUUUGUUGCUGAACUGAUCAAGUCAUAGACUCAUCAUCAUUUCAAGGCAUUUCAGUUUGUGGUAUGCUCAGAAUGGAUGUUUGGUAUUUUCGUUUUGGCUUAAUCCAAAGAAAAUAGCCUUAGGUAUUUCUGAGGCACUUUUGUUGCUGAACUGAUCAAGUCAUAGACUCAAUGGUUAUGGUGUUGCUUAAGCUCAUUUGGGAAUAAUUAGAACAAAUGUUUAUUUAUCCAUUAAUCUUUACGGAACAUGUAUGUCUAUGUUUGGCAAGUGCAUAUUGAAGAUUUGAAUCCCUACUUAACUGAGGAAGUACUCUAUUUUUUGUUGAAACUUUGGGGCUUUCAUUACCUGCCAAUAACCUUACAAACAGUUGUAUUACUUUUCUUUUGAACUGCCGUUGUUGCAUUUUGGGGAUGAAAAGAAAGAAAUAUUCUGGUUGGAUACAUUGCUUUGUUAGAUCUGCACACUCUUCUUUGGGUUGGAUACAUAUCUUUAUUGGAUCUACGCACUCUUCUUUGUCGUUGCAUUGUUGUAGAAUUGCCAUGCUGUUUCUUUUAUCAUGUUUUUACUUUCUUCACUGUUAUUUGUGAGGCCGGGAAGUUCUUCGAAAUCUCCACUUCUUUGCUGUUGCUUUCGCUGGUUUUUCAUGCAAGGUUGUGAUGAUAUAAAGAACUCUACUGAAUAUAUUCGUAUUGGCAUGGCAUGUUGAACAGCUCCGGGGCUGCAUGUUUGCUUUUGUUGCAAGUGCUGGGGAGUUUUUAAAGUACCUUACCUGUUUAGUUUUCCUUUUACCGAUCUUUCGUUCGAAGCUAUGGUGAUAAGGAAAACAGUACAACGUGUCGCCUGGCCCCGGGGCAAUCGCUGCAGCCUGCGAAUAUUAUUGUAGAGAUCCCCACAAUAGCUAUCAUGGAUUUUUGCUUAGAGGAUCUAUAAAUCUGAACCUUGCUUAUCUGUUGUUAUCGUUUUCUUCUUCUUUCUGUCGGCUAUGAUCAUUAUCUACUGUGACCUUUUCCUUUUCUUUGUUCUAUUUUGGGCUUAACUUUCUUCAUUACCUAUUGUUCUCUUUUUCUUUCCUUCAUUUUUUUUGGGGCUUAAGUUUUUUUCCGGCAAAUGGUUUUGUUCCGUCGGGCAAAUGGUUCUGUUCCGUCGAGCUAUUUGUGCUGCUUUUGCUGGUCUGCUUUGGUUUCGGCAUCGCGAUCUGAGUGAAAAAAAGAAAGAAAAGACUUCUUAAAAAAUGACCACAUUUUUUACUUUGUUGUUAAUUUUUUUUCCUUACCUUAGUUGUGUCGAAAUAUGGUGUACUCAAUGGUUGCUUGGCUAACCUAUUCUUAUCUCAUUGUUUUGUUCCGUCGAGCUAUUUGUAGUGCUUCUGCUGGUCUGCUUUGGGUUCGGUAUUACAAUCUGAGUGAAAAAAAAGGAACCUUCUUAAAAAAUGACCACAUUUUACUUUGUUGUUAAUUUUUUUUCCCUUACCUUAGUUGUGCGGAAAUAUGGUGUGCUUGAUGGUUGCUUGGCUAACCUAUUCUUAUCUCAUUGCUCUUUGCUCACAGAUUGUCUGGUCCGAGCUGUUGCUGCUGAACAUAAAAUUCCAAUUACGAGCAUCUCGGCUGACCUCCAGGUGGAUACAUGUGCAUAUGUAUAUACAUAUUACAUAAAUAUGUGGUGGUUUAUAAGUAUGUAUGUAUGUAUUGUUAACAUUCUUAUCUCAUUGCUCUUUGCUCGCAGAUUGUCUGGUCUUGCUCGCAGAUUGUCUGGUCCGAGCUGUUGCUGCUGAACAUAAAAUUCUAAUUACGAGCAUCUCCGCUGACCUCCAGGUGGAUACAUGUGCAUAUGUAUAUAUAUAUUACAUAAAUAUGUGGUGGUUUAUAAGUAUGUAUGUAUGUAUUGUUAACAUUCUUAUCUCAUUGCUCUUUGCUCGCAGAUUGUCUGGUCUUGCUCGCAGAUUGUCUGGUCCGAGCUGUUGCUGCUGAACAUAAAAUUCUAAUUACGAGCAUCUCCGCUGACCUCCAGGUGGAUACAUGUGCAUAUGUAUAUAUAUAUUACAUAAAUAUGUGGUGGUUUAUAAGUAUGUAUGUAUGUAUUGUUAACAUUCUUAUCUCAUUGCUCUUUGCUCGCAGAUUGUCUGGUCCGAGCUGUUGCUGUUGAACAUUAAAUUCUAAUCAGGAGCAUCUCCCCUGACCUCCAGGUGGAUACAUGUGCAUAUGUAUAUACAUAUUACAUAAAUAUGUAGUAGUUUAUAAGUAUGUAUGUAUGUAUUGUUAAACUAUGUAUCAGUUUACCUUUUUUCUAAACUUCCUUAUAUAAAUAUAUAUAUGUGGUCAUCUACUUAGGCUAUUUUUUGUUCUGUCUUUUUUGUUGGCUAUGAUUAUUAUAUAUGUAUCUCUCUCUUCCUCUCUUGAUACAUAUAUAUAUAUAUAUAUAUAUAUAUAUAUAUAGAGAGAGAGAGAGAGAGAGAGAGAGAGAGAGAGAGAGAGAGAGAGAGAGAGACCCGUCUCAACUAUGGAUCGUAUGUCUGUGUGUAUAUACAUAUAUAUACUUAUCAGUUGAUUGUUUUUUGGAUUUUUUUGAAGCUUUCACUCAGUUUACACAUUUUCCUUUCUUUUUUUUUGUAACAUUUAUUUAUUUAUAAUUUGCAUUUAUAAAUAGAUAAAUAUACUAAUUUGCUUGCUUUUUUUAAUUUGUGUUGUUAUAUUUGCUUAUUAGGUUAGAAGGUUUAUUAGAUUUAAUAAGUCUACAAGUAAUUAUAGAUAACAAAGUUCGUUGAAUUUACUAUACAAUUUAAUAGAAUAACAAUUGAUUAAACUUAUUUAAUGCAUAUAUAUAUAUAUAUAUAUAUAUAUAUAUAUAUACCUCUCUACUAUAGGCCAUUUGAAACAAACCCCUCAGUUAAUAUUGUUUUGGCGAGAUUCAAAAUUCUUUUUUCUUUAACUUGAUUUAUUAUAUUUAGUAAUUAAAUUACAAGGUUUAUUAAAUUUGCUGAUUAAUUUCGUUCCUUCGUUGUUCGAACAGAAAGAAAAAUUUUUCGGCCUUCGAAUUACACUCCUGUCCGUUCACUUCGAAAAACAGCUAAAUAUCUAUGUAUCUUUUUUGGAUUUUCUCUACUAUUCGCUUCACUAUCCAAUUAGACUCUAUGCAUUGAUGGUUUUCUUUUGUUUUUGGGCCUGAACUAAUCUUUAGUAGCACAAAUAUAAUUUACCUAUGUAUCUUUUUUGGAUUUUCUCUACUAUUCGCUUCACUAUCCAAUUAGACUCUAUGUAUUGAUGGUUUUGUUUUGUUUUUGGGUCUGAACUAAUCUUUAGUAGCAUAAAUAUAAUCUUUAGUAGCACAAAUAUUUGUGCUAUUUGUUUAAUAUUUUUUAUUGUGUGUUUAUUGUAAAUUUUUCUACCCGCCGCGAAGCGCGGGUACUUAACUAGUAAGGGAUCUAAAUCUUAUACUUUUUUAUCCAAGAAUCCGUAAUAGAACAUAAAUUUAUAGAUUUUAUUAUUUUAUUUUGGCAUGCCAUUAUAUGUUAAAAUCAAAAAAGCCAAACAACUCUUAACUGGUUUGAGUCUUACCAUGCUCGACAAAUAAAAAAAACAUGUGUAGGUAGUAACUUAAAAAAAAUAAAUUAAGUACUAUACAUAAGCGCCACUAUUUUUGCUUUAAAAUUUGGAUUUGUAGACUUAGUAAUUAAAACUAGUUUAAAUUUAAAAUUAUCUACAGAUCAGAUAAAUUCAAAAUAUUUUUUACGUAAAAAUUAAACGUUAUGAUAUUUUGUCGGUGAAUAAAAAAAAGUUUCAUUUCAAAUUAUCUGCAAAUGAGGGGGUCUCCUUAUAAUUUUACCAAAACAUGAAAAAUAAUAAAAAAAAUGUUCCCAAGGUAAUGAGAUUCUUCGAAACCGUGUGAGAGCGCGCCAGCUCAAAUCUCUCCUUUCACCCCUUGACUUUUUUUUUUUUUGGUUUUGAAAAAUUAUUUUCUUUUUUUUUUUUUUUUUUUUUUUUUUUGGUUUUGAAAAAUUAUUUUUUUUUUUUUUUUUUUUUUUUUUUUUUUUUUUUUUUGGUGUAUUAAUUUCGCAUCUCUAUAUAUGUAUGGUUCGUUCCUCGAACGAGGGGUGUGUAGAUCUCACACCCUGAGCUUCUACUAGUAUUUAUAGAGCUCCUCCUCCCCACCCUCUCCCCUCAUUCUCAUUCUCUCUCUCUCUCUAAAACGUUGGAUCGCGUUUAGAACGACAUAGGGACGACGAGGAACGACUCCUAGAGGUAAAUUUCCGAUCCGAUCUCAUCUGAUCUAUGAUGCGGAGGUCUCGAUCUCUUUGUGAUGUCAUUUGAUGCUGGAUCUGUGAUUUUAGUGGUGCAAUUUGUUUCGAUUCGUGAAUCAUUCAUGAUUCUACGAUUUCUUAGGUCCUCUCGCAGAUCUGAGUUUGUGAUUUGUGUACGUUGACUUUGGGAUCUCGUAGAUCUGUAGGUUUCUGUGCAUUGUUUAGGUGGAUUUGACCCGUUUGGGGAAAAUUUGGGUUAGAUAAAGUCUUUUUUUUUGCUGGGAAAUGUAGAUCUGAAUGUUUGUAGGAGGGGGAAUGUGCACCGGGAACUAGAUCUGUUCAUGUUCUGGCUAAUUUGCGCUAUUACCUUUAGAAUUUGAUAUAUUUGAAGGCGUUUUCCAUAGAUCUGUGGACUAUAUUUUCUAUCUCAUGAAUCCAAGGAUUCAAUGUGAGGGAUCGUGGAUUCAGUUGAUCUUAUAUAGAUUUACAGGUUCUUGUGGUUGAGUUGUAUGUUUUGUUUUAUUCAAUUUGAUCUGUGUCAUCAUUCCUUACCAAUAUCAUUGAGGCUAAUCUCAGGUGUAGAUUGAGCCCCUGCUCCUUAAUAGUUAAACAUAAAUGCCAUUGAGCUUCAUCAUUUUUUUUUUGUUUUCCACUCAUUUUUUUUUGAAAAAAAAAUUCUGUUUUUGAAUAAGAUUUGUCUUUCUAUGUAUUAUGUUCUGUAUUACUGUUUAAGGUUCUUUCACAUGCUUCUUCUGGAUUCAAAUAUUGUUUUAGAAUGUCCAAAAAGAACUCGAGCAAGUAAUGCUGUGUGUUUUUUUUUUCUGAUUUUCUUAUUUGAUCAUGGAAGUUUUAAAUUGAUCGUUGGAACCGUUUGGUUUGUUAAUAAGGUUUUGAAAGAGUUGCUUUGCUGUCCAGGCCUCCAACUUUUUGCUCAAAAGUGCCUUAGAAAGAUUAAUCUUUUGAUAUUAUCUCAUUAGGCUUGUUUUUCUGUUUCUUGUGGCAUUAAUUCAAACAGCUUUUAAGAUAAAAAAAGAUGGUGAAGAUCUGCUGCCUCGGCGCCGGCUAUGUUGGCGGCCCCACCAUGGCCGUGAUUGCCCUCAAGUGCCCAGCAGUCGAGGUCGUCGUUGUUGACAUCUCCGUUGCUCGCAUCUCAGCAUGGAACAGCGACCAGCUCCCCAUCUACGAGCCGGGCCUCGAUGACGUCGUGAAGCAGUGUCGCGGCCGCAACCUCUUCUUCAGCACGGAUAUCGAGAAGCACGUGGCGGAGGCCGACAUUAUCUUCGUCUCAGUCAACACCCCGACCAAGACCCGCGGACUCGGCGCCGGAAAGGCUGCUGACCUCACCUACUGGGAGAGCGCCGCCCGCAUGAUUGCCGACGUGGCCAAGUCCGACAAGAUUGUGGUCGAAAAGUCAACGGUCCCGGUCAAGACCGCCGAGGCCAUCGAGAAGAUCUUGACCCACAAUAGCAAAGGAAUCAACUUCCAGAUCCUCUCCAACCCUGAGUUCCUCGCUGAGGGGACUGCGAUUCAGGACCUCUUCAACCCAGACCGUGUUCUCAUUGGUGGGCGGGAGACCCCUGGAGGUCAGAAAGCUGUUCAAGCCCUAAAAGAGGUCUAUGCCAAUUGGGUCCCCGAGGAUCGGAUCAUAACCACUAACCUGUGGUCCGCAGAGCUAUCUAAACUCGCUGCAAAUGCCUUCCUGGCUCAGAGGAUUUCUUCUGUCAAUGCCAUGUCAGCACUCUGCGAGGCCACAGGCGCCAAUGUGGCCGAGGUGUCUUAUGCUGUGGGGAAGGACUCCCGCAUCGGACCCAAGUUCUUGAAUGCUAGCGUCGGAUUCGGUGGCUCCUGCUUCCAGAAGGAUAUCUUGAACCUGGUCUACAUCUGUGAGUGCAACGGCCUGCCGGAGGUCGCCAACUACUGGAAGCAGGUGAUCAAGAUCAACGACUACCAAAAGAGCCGGUUCGUGAAUCGGGUUGUGUCCUCCAUGUUCAACACAGUUGCGGGGAAGAAGAUCGCCGUUCUCGGAUUUGCCUUUAAGAAGGACACUGGGGAUACAAGGGAGACCCCUGCGAUCGAUGUGUGCAAGGGGCUUUUGGGUGAUAAGGCUAAGAUUAGCAUCUUCGAUCCUCAAGUGACCGAGGAUCAAAUCCAACGUGAUCUCGCGAUGAACAAGUUCGACUGGGACCACCCGAUCCACCUCCAGCCGAUGAGCCCAACGGCUGUGAAGCAGGUCACCGUGACGUGGGAUGCAUACGAGGCCACCAAGGGGGCCCACGGGGUCUGCAUUUUGACCGAAUGGGAUGAGUUCAAGAAGCUUGACUAUGCAAAGAUCUACGAGAACAUGCAGAAACCGGCGUUCAUCUUCGACGGGCGCAACGUAAUCGACCCUGAGAAGCUGAGAGAGAUUGGGUUCAUUGUUUACUCGAUCGGGAAGCCGCUUGAUCAGUGGCUCAAGGACAUGCCUGCUGUUGCCUAAAUCAAAGCUGCUCAAGGAGAGUAAUUCUAUUCGGAGGCUCGGUAGAAGGUUUAAAUUCAUGAUUCUUAUAAUUGUUGUUGUUUUUUUUGUUGCUAAAGAUUUAGUACUUUUCCUUGAAUGGUCUAUUUGUUUUCAAAAUUGUAGCUUUUAGAGUCAGCUGAGUCAUCUCCAUGUCUUUGCCACUUAUGAUCUUAUCAUACCUUGUAGGAAGUGUCCUUUGUUAUUUUUAAAAGAGAAAACCUAUAUUUUUGUUGUUGCCGGAGAUAGAAUAAGUAUAAGAAUAACUUUUCUGUUGUUGCUUUCAUAUUUGAUUAUACUAAAUUCAUCUGUGCCGCCUUUAUUUCUAGCUUGUGGAGUCUAAUAAAUUAAUUUGCAUAUAUGUUGGUGGAAGCCCACAACUCUUUGUAUUUUUUUUUUUCCCCUCCUCUCUGUUGAGUAUUUGUGAAGCAUUUUCAGAUAUUUGUCGUGAAUGCACUUGCAUGAAUAUUCUUAUUAAAAAUCUUAGCAAGUUUGCAAAGAUAUAGAGGCGCAUUAAAGUUGGCGGGUAUGUGGAAUAAUGAAGAGGGAAAAGGGUGUAUUCAUCUAAGGGUUUGUUAUCUUUUCUCUAUAGAAUCAGAAGAAUGACCGAGUAACGAGCAGAUUUAUCAGGUCUUUAUUAGAUAUUUUCCAGUGUUAAUUUUUUAGGCAUGUAAUAAUACUGAAAAUGUGGUUAUUGCGGAUAUUCUCACUGCAAAGUAUAAACAACAGAAAAUUUAACGAACAGAUUUGGAAAAUCGCCUCAUUUGAACUUGGAAGAGAAGGAUUUCAGAUUCACAAAUUUCAUGAAAUUUUUUAUGUAAUUCGCCAAUUAGAUUAUACACAUAGUUAAUGCACUUACAUUAUUCGUAGAUUCAUCUUAUUCUUCUUCUUUUUUUACCCUUAAAAGGGCAUUGGUAGUUAAAAGAUACUUCUGAAUCUUACAGCAGAAAGCUUCACAAAAAGGAAAGGAAAAACAGCAUCAUUCCUUGCAGUGUUGAUACCAUUCUUUGCAUCAGAGCUGCAAUCCGCAAAAGUGUUCAUUUUUUGAUUUGAAAUGUUGGAACUCAGAUGCUGCUCUUCUUACUUUGUUUAUACUCAUUCUUGUUAUGUCGAGUACUGGAUCACUACUUCCAUUACCCUGCGCGCCUAUUCGUUGUGCCAAUUUCGGCCGGAAAAGGGAAAAAAAACAGAUCUCUUGAGCUUUGUCCUCCCAAUUUGGCUCAUCUCUAUUUGAUUCAAAUCUUGGUUUUCCAACCAUUAUAAUUGCAACAAAUGUUCAUGUGCUUCUUUUUCUGAAAAAGGGGUAAAUAGGGAUUGGUAACAUGUGCAUCUGAAAAAAAGAAGGAAAAAAACACUUCCAUGAAAAGCUGCAGGGGCUUAAUUGGUAACAUGCUAUUCUUUAAUGUGCACUGCAUGUGUCAUGGAACAUUUUCUUACUUAUGCCCUUGAAAUUUGAGCAGGAAAAUUCUUGAUGAUUGGAAGUCAGCAAACCAGAAUUAGAAUAUUCCUGCAUUGAAGAAGAGAAGAUGGUAUGUCCAGCACCAGGUACUGCAAAUUUUGCAUAUUACUCCCAUGUGAGCAUGAUGUACUCUCUUGGAACAUGUUUUCUGACCAGAUACUUGUUGGAACAUGUUACUUCCAUUAAUAUUAUCAUAUGGAAAGCCUAUUAUUUUCCUUUUGCCUUUUGGCAGAGUUGACUCUAUGAUCCACUAUUCUCUCCCAUAAUUGCUUGCUUUCAUGUUGGGCCAUGUUCUCUCUCUCUCUCUCUCUCUCUUGCAUGUAUUAGUUUCAUGCUGUGAGAUUCCUUGUGCUGUUGUGCAAUAGCUUUGUAUGUGCAGAAUCUGGAUCUGAUGGAUGUAUUAUGUUCAGAAAUGAAGUUUAGAUUCAUGGGUAUGAUUGCUUUUGCAGCUUGAAUUUGGAUAUGGAUUGGUUGAAGCUUGAAGUUUCCAAAUCUGGAAUUCCUGAUUUAUGGGCAUCACUUAUGUUUAGCAGACCCUUCCCUGUUUUAGUAAUUGGUUGGCUUUUAUACCUGCAGAGAAGUUGUGUUUCAAUCUUAAAAAUAAUGCAGAUUAGAGAAAAGCAAGGUUUAAAGUGCCCAUCGGCACAGGACAUAUCCACUGUGCUGUAUCAUGCCAGUAAGAUAUCGGCACAAUAUAGUCUCCGUGCUGAUGGUACAAUUCAAAACUUUUUAUUCUUAAAAUUAGUAAAUAAUUUUUUCAAUAAAAUUCAAAAAAUUUGAUAAAAAAAUAUAUAAUAAAUAAUUGACAUAUUUUAUUGCUCAAGAAAAUAAAUAUUUUAUAUCAUUAUGUAUCAGCAUAUAUAAUUUUUUUGUGACCGACAUUUCUCGACAUGGCCCGGCACGUAAAAUGCUAGCAAAUUUUCGAUAGGAUCUCGUACUACGGCACUGAAUCCUGAAAAAAGGGAAAACUUCAAAAACCCCCCCUGUGGUUUCACGCUUUUUCAUUUUAGUACCCUGUGGUUUGAAGUGUAUCAAGUUAGUACCCUGUGGUUUCUCACUUUAUCACUUUAGUACCCUGUGGUUUAAAAUGUAUCAAGCUAAUACCCUGUGGUUUUGCACUUUAUCACUUUAGUACCCUGUGGUUUCACACUUUAUCACUUUAGUAUCUUGUGAUUUAAAAAACUAUAGGGUACUAACUUGAUACAAAAUUAAAACCACAGGGUACUAAAGUGAUAAAGUGCAAAACCACAGGGUACUAACUUGAUACACUUUAAACCACAGGGUACUUAAGUGAUAAAGUGAGAAACCACGGGGUACUAACUUGAUACAUUUUAAACCACAUGGUACUAAAGUGAAAAAGUGUGAAACCACAAGGGGGUUUUUUGAAGUUUUCCCAAAAAAGAUUAAGUGAAGGGUUACAUAUACAUUGGGUCUUUUUGAUGUGACUUGAGCUUUUUUUCACGAGAAGUACUGUUUGAAAAAGCUAUUCCAAAAGGUUAAGUGUUUAUCAACUUUUUGCUAGUUUUUUUUUUUUUUUUUUGAAGUCCAUUUGAUUGGAUGUAAAUAAAAAUACAGGUAAAAAUAUAUAUAGUUAAAAAUAUAAUAGUUAUAAUUAUAUAUUACUUGGUCGAUUAGAUACAGUAAAAAUAUUGUAAUUAUAAAUAAUUUAUUUGAUUUUAUGCGGUUGAGAAGCAUAUUUUUAAAAUUUUUAUCACUUUAUAUAUAUACGUGGGGAUGAGAUUAUCUCUAAUAUAGAAAAAAAAAUUAUUUUAAAUUAAAAAAUUUAGAGAGGUAACCUUACUUUUUAUUAGAAUUAUUCUUUCCAAUCGCUCCAAUUGGAGCUAUGAUCAAUUUGGAUGUAGUUUCAACGGCUACAAUUGGACCUCUUGUAAUUCUAACUGUAGCACUUGGAUUCAAAAUUGUCUAACCAAAUGCCGAAUUUUGAUCUGCAUAUAGUUACAACUGUAGUAUAAUUACAACUACAUCCAACCAAAUGAUCCCUUAAAAUUAAAAAAAAAACACAAAAAGAGGAAAAUAUAUGAAAUUUAGCUGAACAUGAGCUAUUUUUGACACAUAACCAUUUUAAAUUUGGGUUUUGCAAUCUAGCAUUUUAUUUUAUUUAAUUUAAAUCAUUUAAUGACUCUCCUGUAUUUAUAUUAACGAAAUCGAUAAAAGUAUUCUAUAUGUGAUUCAUUGAUUCUAUAGCUAUUUGAACAAAAGGGUCAUUCUAAAUUCAAACCACUCAAAUCAAACAAUUUAAAAAAAAAUAAAAAUAAAUUAGUAAAAUUAAAAUUUUUCCAUUGAGUGCCAUAAUUUUUAACCAAAAAAGAAGAAAAAUUAAGAACGCACCGCCGUAGAAAGUCGAUCAUACGGUCGUAUACUCUACGAUACCAUACGAAAAAUCACAUUUCCCAUACUAUCCCAAACAAUUUCCAAAGUACCAAACGAGUCCUACUACCAACAAUAGUUAUUUCACUAAUUACAAUUACAACACGUGGUAUAUACAAGGGUAUUUCCGUAAUUAUGAACUCCGAAUAAAAAAAAUUUAUAAAAGAGCGCGUUGAGCCCUAUUUUGGUCAUUACGCACCCUCCUCCCCCAAAUCGCUUCGAUCGCGAUCCCGAUUCCUCUUCGAUCCCUCUUCUUCCUCAUCUCCGAUUCCCCGCCGCGUUCGAUCCCCUCCUCCUCCGCGGCUCCCGCGAUACCCUCCCCUCCCCUCCCCCUCUCUCGUCGCUCCGAUCCUAGGGUUAGGGUUUCGGGGGACUUCUUCUUGCGUCGGCGGCGGCGCCCUCCGUUGGCCCCCCGACCUGUGGAUCUGCCUCGAAGAUCGGGUUUUUCGGUGCGAUCUUUUGGGGGCUUGUUGAUUCUUGAGGCUUGCGAACCCGAAUCGAGGUCGCGGCGAGCCGGUGGAGCUGGUUCUUCAGGGCGUGAUUUGAGGUUAGGGUUUGCUCGGAUUUCGAACUUUUCGAUCUGUUUUAUUUCAUCUGUUUGGGGGGUAUUGCUUUGAUCCGGAUGUGGCUUGUUUGCCCUCUUGUAAUUGCAUGAUGUAUUGGUGGAUUUGGGUAUUUGAAUUGGAUCGCUUUAGGAUUAGGGUUUUGUAUUUGUUGGGGGAAAUCCAUUUCCUUAUUCAAUUAUCAUCUUUCUAUAUCCCAUCAUUGUAGACUUAGGGUUUAAAUUUCAUUUAUCAAGUACUUUAUUGCGAUUUUUAUUUUUCCAGUUAUACGGUAAUUAGCAUGUUGUUUUAUCAAGGUUUUAGAUAUCUUAUUUGAUUUGAUCCUGUACGAAUGCCCUGGGUACACCUAUUCUAAAGCAGCAGCUGUUUUUUUCAGAAUUUAUCUUUUCCAUUUAUUGCUGCUUAACAUAGUAAUUAGCAACUUUAGUAGAUUCCCUUUGUGUAAUGCUUGUUCAAUUGAUUUAGAUGGCUCUGUGUUUGUUUUUAACUAGAAAUUCUAUCUUGGCAUUCCUUUUUUUAUUGCUAGGACUUUGUAUUAUCUUCAGUAGAUAAGUAGAGAGGCUCACUCAAGGAAUGCGUAUAUAUUUUAACACGGUACCGUUCCUAAGACUUAUGGUGAUGCGUAUGGAACUGGAAUGACUUCAUCCCUGUGCGCAUUUCCCUUCACAAGUGGAAUUGCAAAUGACGUUGAAACUUGAACUCUGAUUUUCUGGAAGGAUUGAUAAGCUCGUUAAUUGAUUGGCUACAAUCUGUGAUUUUAUUUUUGUCAUUGGGGUCGUUGUGAUCUAAUGGUGUAUUUUAGCCUCUUCUUUUUUGCAACUAGUUGCUUUCCUUUGUUUAAAUGUGUUUUUAUUUGAAGGUUAUUUCAUAGAAUCUGCAGCCUUCUGACAACUUGAUUUGGUGCACCUGAAAUAUUUGCUGCUCCUUUUGGCUUUAAUUGGUUUAUGACCUAGCAUUCUUUCGCUUGUUGUAUAUUAUACACUAUAAAGGUAAUUCUUGCAAGUGUUAUAAAUUUUUCAUUGGCGAAAGUUAUUCCACAUAUUGUGUUGUGCUAUUUGAAGCUAGACAGGUCUCUUUUAGGAGCUUCAAUUGCUGCUUUUACGCUUCCCUAAGUGGCUGAGUGAUACAUAUCAUUAUUGGUGUCUCUAGUGUGCUAGUCUUUUGCUCCAUGAUAUAUUUUCUAAUUGAUUGUUUGUCCUGCAGGUCAAGUAUGGUGUUUGUGCACGGCAAACAACCUCUAACGGAUGAUCAGUUUGACCAUCUUGCUGAUCAGAACCUGAGUGGGUUGGAGGAGCACUAUCAAAUUGCACCAUUCUCUGACAUUUCUUCAUCUAAAGGUAAACAGUGCCAAAUUUUUCUUUGAAGACAAAUAGAGUGAUAAUUAGUUUCCUAUUCACUCUAUUCUGUAAAGAUUGCGAAAAUUUUAGUAAAAGUAGAGGAGCUGGUGACCUGAAAUGUUCUCGUGGUGAGAAAUUGUUUGUCUUUGGUGACAGGUGGCGCUGGUGAGCAUUUCAAGUUGGAGCAUAGCAAGCGGCCUCUUUGCGAUGGCAAGCCUUCCCAAGUUGCUCUUAAACGCCCAAAGCAACUGGACCAGAAUAGAAUGUUAUAUUCAUUUGAAGAAUUUACAUUUACUUCAGGCGCCUUUGAGGGGCUACCUGCCUCAGGUUUCUUAAACUAGUUCUCUUUACUUGUGUAUAAUAUUUUUUGAUAGUUCAGAAUGUGCUGAACCUAGAGAAGCUUACACUAACAUUUCUUUCUCUUGCCAGUUCUAGUGGACAAAUAUUUUGGCAGCAGAGACAAUAAUUAUUUUCCUAGCUUUGAUCCACCUGUUCGGGCACCUCUCUUUCCUUACUAUUUCGAGGAUUGCCAACGAGCAGUUGGAUUUAAUCAAGUAGAUGAGAUUCAUUCACCUGUUCUCGAAAUUCAUCCUCGAAAACCUGUUGCCAUUGGGCCCAAUCAUCAGGCCGAUCUUCCAGAUUGGAAGCCAAGAGGUUUUAGGAAUGGCUCUGGGGAUUCUUUUCAUUGUGAUGCGUCUUCACUUAAUUCGGAGACAUGUUUAGCUUCUGUUUGUCAUCCUGCGGAUGAUGAAAAUGAGGAUAGUGAGAAGUGGAUUAGAACUUGUGUCAUUCCAAUGCCUUGUGCAGAUGGCUUAGCUUCAGAAAUCAGAACUACAAAUAGUAAUAUACGUUGUAGCUGCACUGAACCUGGGUCCAUCCAAUGCGCAAAACAGCAUGUGAUGGAGGUCAGAGAGAAUCUCAAGGCAGCCUUGGGGCCAGACAGAUUCGAAGCAUUAGGGUUUUGUGAGAUGGGAGAGGAUGUAGCUUUGAAAUGGACGGAAGAGGAGGAGAGACUUUUCCAGGAAGUCGUCCUAUCCAACCCUGCUUCCUUGGGCAAGAACUUUUGGGAUGAGCUCCCGCAUGUAUUCUCCUCGAAAAGCAGCAAAGAGUUGGUCAGUUACUAUUUUAACGUCUUCAUGCUACGAAAGAGGGCUGAGCAAAACAGGUCGGAUCCCAUGAAUGUGGACAGCGACAAUGAUGAAUGGCAAGAGAGCGAUGAUGGUGAGUUUGAAGAGGACGAAACAGAAGAAGAUUCUGCUGUGGACUCUUUGACUGACAGGGAGGACUUAGGUUAUAAUCAUAAAGCUUGUGUGGGGGGAGAUAUUCAUGAAGAAUCUGAUGAGGGAGAUGACUGUGAUGGUGAAGAAAAUGAAGGGGUCACCGGAAAAAAUCUGCGAGGCCGUUCAGAUGAUCUGGGUGUCCAGGAUGAAUCGUGCACAUCAUUUGAGGGCCAGAAUAACGGGGCUGACUCUGCUAGUCAGGCUGACGAGAUGCAACAUUUUAGCAUCGAAGAAAACGGGAACCACCAGAGGGAACAUAGAAAUGAUUGGUUGAGUGGUAUUGCAGAUAAUGUGUUCUUCGAUGGCCAUUGUGACCCAAAAAUGUGGGAAAUGAACUUUAGUCAUGAAAGAAGAGAAGAUUUUUUGUCGACCUGUAACGUGGUUGAAGAAGUGAUUGGUAUAGAUGCUUACGAGAAUAAUGCUAUCAGUCGUCAUAGCAUCAGCUAGUUUUCUGCUGGGCCUCUGAUUCGGCUUUUCUCAUUGCAUCAAAUCCUUUCAAGAUUCUAUAGUUUGUCGCGGUUGUGAAUCAAUGUUCUUGAUUCUCAAUGUACAUUCAUGAAGGAAAUCAGCGGGUCUGGGUCUCUUGUAGAGUAGUUUAAAUACAAUAUUUAGUCCUGAAGAUUUGCUCUUUAGGACUGCAUGAAGGUGUCCUUAAAUUAUUUUAUAGAGCAAUCCCUUCUUUCCCAACGAGAGAAUCUUUGUACAAGGGGGUUUACGUUGUUCAGAACCUUCAAUUUAUUAAUUUACAUUUAUAUAUCUUUGUUUACCAUGAUUUAUUAUAGGAAAUUGCUCUUCCAUGUUGUCACUUUUUUGUCAUUUGUGUCGGCAGUCAAAUAAAAUUUCCUAUUUAUGAGAUGAGCUUAUGAGCUGUUGUUGGGAGGAUCAUUUACUGGAGAUAAUAUAAAGAUGGAAUGAGGCUUGAAGGUUUUCUCUCUCUCUCUCUCUCUCUCUCUCUCUCUCUCUCUCUCUCUCUCUCUUGAUUGAGCACGAUUUUGUUGUCGAAAUUCUGAUUUGGAGGUCAUGUUACUGCCCAAUGCAUAGCUGAGUGUAUCUUAAACUUGCACCUGAUUUCUCUGCAGUGAAACAUCUGAACUAAAGGAAAGCAGGUUAGUCUUAAGAUUUAGAGCAAGAUCUUCAGUAGCAGAUGAAUUGGGUGAUAAAUUCUAGGUAGGGUCUGUCUAAUCUGACUAAAGCUUCUCGUGAAGUGCUAUUUGCGGAAGCCCAAUAGCUUGUCGUUCCAAAUCCCCGACUUACCUAUUCAAUCUAAGAGUUGAAACUUCAGAUUACUGGUUGUGCAUUUGGGUUUUCUGCUUUUGUCAGAAUGUAUAAAAUCUUCUCUUUAGCAGAGAAUCUCUCCAUAAAUCAGGUGAAGAGGCACAUAAGUUCCGUUUUUGUUUAAUUAUUGAGAUAGUGAUGGAAUUAGUUCCCAUUGAAUGUCGAUAUGCUUAAUUUGGUGGCAUUGUUGUCGCAACCUUUCCCAGGGGAAUGUUAGUUAACAUCAACAGCUGUGUUCUUAAACCGUUAAUAAAGAUAUCGAUAAGUGAUUCAUAAAACUCUUAAGGUCCCUUCUUUGCUCGACUAAUCUUAUAGUUUUGUCUCUGUAAUUUGUUUUAAGAAGAAAAAAAGAAAAAAAGACUUGUGGAUUCUUGAGUCAUUCUCUAUGCUAAAAGCAGUAACUUGGAAGAGCAUUGUUUCAGAAAAGACACCAUGACAGAAAGAUAUGUGAGGUAGUCCCACACAGCAUAAAAGUGUCCAGCUUUUCCAUGAUCUCAGUGAGUGUUCUCCAGGCAUAUAAGCUGGUGCACAUCUUGCCAACUUGACACAAUCCUUUAUUUGAACUAUGAAUAUAGUAUAUACAAUGCAAUGGAAGCACACGUUUUUCGGAGAGAAAGAUAAUUGGAUCCACCUGUAGUGAGUAACUUGUCUGCACAUUCUCAUGCUGGCAUUAAUAAAUAAGAAAGAAUCUUAUCUGUUUCUUUAUUGUUGUGAAAUUAAGUAGAGUCCUUUCAAGUUAUACUAGAUGGAGUGUAACUUGAGCUUGAUGCUAUUUAGGAAGGUCUUUGCCAAAUGUCUUUUUUUUUUUAGCGAGAAAGGUGGCAUGCUACCUGCUUCGUUUAUUUCAUUUAGAAAUAAACUUAGCUGAAAAUAUGAAUCAACUAGGAUUCGAAUUUAGGUCUCGGGUAUCAACCACCAAGCUCUUUUGCCACUUGCGCUAGGGACGGUCGGUGUUAAGUGUCAAUAUUGAUUAUUUCAUCAUAUAUAUAUAUAUAUAUAUAUAUAUAUAUAUAUAUAUAUAUAUAUAAUGUGUUGCAAUCCACCAAGGUGUUGAGUGUUGUCAGAAAAUUAGAAAAUGGGUACGGAAAAGGGAAAAAAAAAGGAAAAAAUGGAAUAAAUAAGAAAUUAGGGUAGAAGAAAUUAGAAAUUAGAAAUUAGAUUUUGAAUUUAUGUGUUCAGUUGAUAGAACAGAAGUGCUUUGGGAAUUUUAAUCUUUUCUUGCAUCUGCCUCUCUUACUGGUCCCAAAUUUUCGCACUUAUUGUAAUCUAACUGUUCUAUGUGAUGCGACAUAACAAAUUACAAAUCACAAUUCUCCGAACAAAUCAAAUAAUAAAAAACGCAGAAGCAGUUAAACUGAACAUAUAAACCUCAAAACAUUGCAUUAAAAAGUGUUCAGUGCUGUGAGACCUGCCAUUGAAAUGUAGCUAUUACAGUUAACUGAAAUGCAGUAAAUUCUUGGUAAAUGUAGUAAAUUUUAAAUUUGGAAGAACCAAGAACACAACUUAUUUGUUCACUAGACACUCAAAAAAUAAACUCCUUUUUUAGAUUGCCUGAAGCAGGGAAGAGAUAGAUAGAGGUUCUCAAACACAACUUUGCUUAGCAAACCACUUCAAAAAAAUUAGGCCAGAAAGAAACAUGAAAAACACAAAAGAAUGAUCGACUAACCAUCCCAUCUCAAUCUCAAAUUCCGGACUAUCCAACAAAGUUCUAGUAAGAAAAUAUUGUAAUUUCAAAAAAGAUAGCGACUCGUCGGAUGAUUUCGGUUCGAAAUUAUGAUAUCUGGCGGUAAGACGACCGAUAUCCUUGGCUGAUGCAGCGGAACCUGGUCCAGCCAAUAGUUUCUCCACAGCAAUCAAUACUCAGAGAGUGAAAAGCAAGCAUUAACAAGUACAAAUUUACACUGCUAAAAAAGCAUGGAAACAAGAAGACACAAGCAUGGCCAAGUGAGAUGGAUUGUCAUGUAUACCAGGGAACAAAGUGACCAACCAACUUGAUAUCACAUGCCACCAUCUAUUUUGUAAUAUGCAGAUUCCUCGGGGAGAGGCCAUCAUCCUUGUCUGCUAGAGAAUUUCACUGCCCAAUCAUUUCAAUUUUAAGUUGCAAAUUCUCAUGAUGCCAAUUUAGCUUAUGAUCUGUUAAAGGAAAAACAAAAUGUAGUUUGUACAAGUCGACAUCGACUUCUAUUACAUCUACCAUUAAUAUGUAAAAUGUGAAUCAUCAUUUCAUACAAUCUAUGGUUAAAAAACCAAAAAGAGAAAAAAAAGGUGCAAUUUUGACUACAUCCAUCAUUUGCUUAAGCCUAUAAAUGAGUUGCUAAGCAUGAACAAAUUAGUAUUAGUGAGAGUUAUUUGUCUCUCAUAGUAAGGAAGUUGCUGCAGAAGCUAAUCAAAGUAUGCACAAAGCAGAGCAUCACAAGAUGCCAGAAUUUCUUAAUCUGAAUAUUUAACUGAGCAUGAAACACUUUAAAUCAGCUUGAAAUCUAUUUGCUUAAAUAGACGAAUUACUAGAUGAGAGUAUAUAUAUGUAUCCUUAGGUAGUAAGUAUAAUUUGUUUUUAUGUGCAAAAAGAAGAAAAAAAAACAACUUGGACAUACAAAAAUAAGCAAUGCAUUUCAUAUUUAAUAAAGAGAAAAUCAUAGGGCAGUAAAUAGUGCAUAGUACAUCUGUUCAUCCAUCCUUGCUUUCCCUUUCAGCAGUUUGUUAACAUAUUGACAUCUGAUUAAAAAAGGCCAAAACUUUAUAUAGACCAAUUCAAAUAAUUUGUAUCUAGAACAAAUUACUAUACCUUGGCCAAAAUGGUAAUUCACAUUUUAGAAACUUUAGUGAUCUUAAUUGUGACAAAUCAUCCAUCAUAAUAUUAUGUGGUUCAAAUAAAAUCUGAGAGAAGAAGAGGAAAAGGAAUAUUUGAGCUUUGGAAAAAAAAAAAAACAUUUGAUUCAUUAACAAAUCUAAAGAUUACUAAAUGAAAAGAAUGAGUUAAAUAGAUCUGCAUAAUCAAGAUUAUGUACUCUUUUUCAAAUCCACCAUGACUUAAACUCAUAAUUCUCAUUAGUAUUACUCGAAUCCUCGUCGACGGGAGCGGGGAGAUUGAGAUCGAUCAAAUUCCGCUGUUUCAGUUUUCUCUGCCCGAUUUCGAAGUUUUGGUUGAUGCCCGAAACUUCGCCAAAAUCCGAUCUUGAAACCAAAUGCGACCUUUUGUGACCUCCCAAAGCUUGGCCAGAGGGGAAGAUCUUGAAGCAGAACGGGCACUGGUGGCGAUUUACGCUCUUCGUUUCCGCACAGCAAUGAUCGGCACCGAUGUCUUUGUUGAGAGUUUCUUUGAGCGUCGUCGAUUCGAAAGAAGCGUUUGUCUCCGCGCUAUUCUCCUGCGCCUUCGACGAGCACACGAAUCCCCUGAUCCUCUUGUGGCUCGCGCGGUGGCCUCCGAGAGCUUGGUAGGAAGGAAACGAUUUGUCGCAAGUGGCGCAAUUGUACGGCCUCUUCUUCUUCUUAGUGGAGCUACCGAAAUCGCCGGAACCGCCGUUCUCCUUAUUGAUUUCGGAGACGCGGGAGUUCUCAGCUGGACCUUCGUCGGAAGCGCCGGAAUUCGCCUUUCCGUUCGGUAAAAAGCACAGUUUCGAUCGCCUCUUCGAUCUCUCGGUGUCGUUCGUGAGAGAACCCGGAUCCUCUUUCGAUUCUUUAUCAACUCCUUUAUCGUCAACGUCCCUCGAGAGCAUCAUGAGGCAAAGCGCCACAUCCUCUUGCUCUUUCCACGACGAACUCUCUUCGUGUUCUUCUUCUGAAUGGCACUUGGAGUGCUCUGAAAACUGCUUCCGAGGAGCGAAAACUCUUUCACUCUUGAGAUCGAGAUCGGUGUCGCGGCUUGCGACCCUCCAAGUCCUCUUAGGAUUCUCUCGGAGAACGUAAGAUCGCGACGCCGAUCCGAUCGAGCUUCGCCCGAUCCUUGCAUUAUCCUCCGCCGCCUCCGACGGGGGGGCGAUGAGCGACAAGUGAGAUCUCAUGUGCCCGCCCAGCGAUCUCCCGCAGGGGAAGCUCUUCCCACAAGCCUUGCAGCUAUGCUUCGUCUCCAUUAAAAACAGGGGAAUCAAAAAAAAAGAAAGAAAAAAACAGAGCAAGAUCAAAUGAAGCUCAAACUACUCUGAAAAAACCGAUCGAAACUCCGAAAUUACGGGGUUUCAGAUCGAAUCGAGAAGAACGCAUCCAGAAAAUGCUGAAAGAAACCAAUUUGGAAUUGUAGAUCUCAUGAUUCCCCACUGCGCAGAGAAAAGGUGAGAGCUUUAGCAUGUAGAGAGAGAGAGAGAGAGAGAGAGAGAGAGAGAGAAAGGAGGGGGUGGUUAGCUUAAAAAUGGCGAGGCGUCGUUGUUUUGUUGGGUCGGAUUGGUUGGGAGGAGAAAUCCAUGCAAGUGAAGCAAAGUAGAGAGAGAGAGAGAGAGAGAGAGAGAGAGAGAGAGAGAGAGGGAGGAGCACGUGUGCGCGAGGGAGAAUCACACGGGGGACGAUUGGACGGAGAGGAUCAUGCCACGUCGGAUCGGGGGAAGAGCAUCGGACGGUGGUGGUGGGGAUCCUUUUCAUCUCACCGUCGCUUCUUUGGAACACGAAACAGGGGAGCUGAGGAAUGGCCACGUGGCAGAUGCUGAUUGGUUGGUUUUAGAUAUUGUUGCUUGGUUUUAGGGAAUUUUGGGCCCCACCGUUGGGAUCACCGUGGACCGGCUUUAUUAUUAUUAUUAUUAUUAUUAUUAUUAUAUACACAAUUUUGGAGGGCUCUUCUUUUAGUGAAAUGUUAAAUAGCUAGAUGUAAUUUACACAUAUUUCAAAAGAAUAUGAGUUGGACUGCUAUACUAUCGAUAGUACGGAGACUUUCGUAUACCAAACUAUUUUCAAUGAUGCGACUUUCAAAUCGAUGAUCGACGCUGUUAGACUUAAUCUACACUAUUGAAAGUAUCUGAAAACUAAAUUUUAUAAUUUUUCGACAUUAUUUGGCUAGUGAUCAAAAUAUCUCAAAAUUAACAAUUUUAAUAGUCGAUGUGAUAUAUUUGUGAAUUUAACGAUAUAAAAAAAUUCAAAUCUGAUAAGAUUUUUAUAGAAAACUCUUUUCACUAUUUAGAAUCAAAUCAGUAUCUUUGAUCUUAAAUUUUAAUUUUUUAUCAUCAUGCUUUCGAUAGUAUAGCAGCCGGUCUCAAAGUAUACUACAUUACAAAAUCCAAGUUGUAGGGCACUGAGUUUGUGCUUAGGACUUUGUCUCACAUAAAGUGUAUGAUUCUCAUUUUCCCAAUUUUCCUAUUUUAAGUGCACUGUGAAUUGCAUGUAACGUGUGUGCAUGAAUAGUUCAAGUUACUAAUUCUUCAAAUUUGUUAUUUAUCAAUUAAAUAGUUUAAUGUAUUUUAUUUAUGUCCUUGUGGUGCUCAUAGUAUGUCCCUCCUUAUUUGGGUUUACUAUUGUUGUAGCAUCUUAGGAUGAAGUUUCAUUCUAUCCAUCUCUGUACUUUUGGGCCAGGCCAUUCAUCGCAGUUGGGCAUGUUUGUUUCACCGAAGGUCAUGAUGCUCAGGCCGAAAAUUAUUAUUAUUAUUAUUAUUUUGUUGUUUGUUGGUAUAGCUGCAGAACCAAAAUUUUUUAGUUUUCGCUUUUGUUUGGCAGGAAGUGAAUCACGAAAAAAAUUGGAGUUAUGAAAGAUAAGUUAAUAACUUUGGCCUGGUUUGGAGAGUUUGAGUGUUGAUCGAAGGUAAAAGAUAUGAUAAAUUAAAUAAUAAAAAUAAAUAUUUAUGAUCGAAAACUACUUUACCCCUCUCUACUUUCAGUGAAACAAACACACCAUCCCAAACAGUUAGCAUAGCUCGGCCAAGAAUGUUUCACUAAAGAACUCAAGACAAAAUAUAUGAAAAUGGUCGAAUAUAAUUAGAUAUUUGACAAAAUUAUAUCUGUAUCCAAAUUCAUAUACAAAUACGAAUCGGGAUAGAAUAUUAAACAGAAAUUAAAUUUUUUUCAUAGAUUUCUUCAAGCUAGUCUACGAAUUUUAAGGCAUGAUAUAAUUAGGAUGAUUAUAAGUUUCUCCUCUUUGAUAUAACUAAGACUAAUACAUUUUUUAGGUAAAGCAUCAGCAUCAUAUGUAAUAACUAAAUCUCCAGUAACACUCCAACUUGUAAGGACCACACUCUAAAUUUGGCAAAAUAAAGAAGCAAGUAACAUUUUAAUAAUAAGAGAUUAGUUGUUCACGUACUAGGGUUCUGUUAGGAAUUUAUGAACAAAUGCCAUAUAAUUUUUCAAAGAUAUAUAUUUUUCUCUCAAACUUUUUUUUUUUUUUAUCAAAUAGAUUUAGAUAGAUCUAAAGACAAUAUGGCGAAUAAAGUACCUCCCUAAUGAGGAAUAGGUUACAUGUUCGAUCUAGGGGUGUCAACGAGCCAAACANGCUCGUUAAAGUAUCGAGCCGAAAAAUUUAACUCGUGUUCGGUUCGUUAAUAAAUGAACCGAACACGAACCAAAUACGGGUUGACUCAUGAACAAUAAGUUAAAAGAAUUAUGAAGUAUACAUAUAAAAAAUAAAUUUAUGAGAUCUUAUCGGUUUGACUUUGAUUUAAUAGUUAAAAUUUUAUAUAUAAAUAUUUUUUUUAAAUUGAGUUGGCUUUAUAUUUUAGGUUGAGCUAAAAAUUAAUUAUUUAUUUAUAUAUAUAAAUAUAAAAUAUAUGUAUUUAAGCUGUUAGCGAGCAGAACACGAGUGAGCUGACCCAGCUCAUGUUUGGCAUGUUUAUUGAACGAGCUGAAAAGUUCAGCUCGUGUUUGGCUCAUUUAUUAAACGAGUAGCUCGAUCUUGAGCUCAUUGUAAGCCGAACAUGAGCGACGACCGAGUUGGAUUGCCACCCCUACUUCGAUUCAUUUUGUGGGUUUAUAUGUAUUUUAAAAAAAAUUGAAACAAUGUUGAUUGUUGGGGUGACUUGUCCUCAAAAUCCAAAGUUUUGAGGUACCAACAUGCAAAAAAACCCUCAUUCGAAUUAAAAUAAAUAAAAAAAAAAGGCCCCUGGUUUGGGCAUUUCUCCGAACGCCUCUUCUCCCAUGGACUAUGGCGGCGGCCACGCGGCCGAGAAAGGGGCGGCGCCGCCGCAGCCCCCGCCGGCGCCGCCGCCGCUCCGCCGCAUAAACACCGCCCAUCACCAACCCCAACACCGCCGCGCUUCCGCCUCCACCUCUGCCUCCUCCUCCUCCUCCUCCUCCUCCUCCCGCAUCUCUUCCCACAAUCUAAACCCUAACCCUAGCACAAGCUCUGACUCUGCCUCCCCUACGAGGCACGACGCACAUGGCGCCGCGCCGCGCGCCUCGCACGCCGUAGGAUCGUCGUAUUGUUAUGGCGGCGGAGGAGGAGAAGCGCACUCCCUGAACCAUCGACCCGUAAGUGCGCCCUAUUCCUUUCUUUGUCAAAUUAUAAUUCCUUUUUUUCUUCCUACAGUAUUUGGAUAAUAUUGUGGAAAGUGAAAUUUACUAGGAGUUUCUAUGCUUUUAGGUUGCAAUUAUGUGUAGCAUUUGGCGAUGAAAAUGCUAAUAAUGUAUUUUGAUAACUCACUGGAGAAAUGGCAUGGAAUGAUUUGAAAUACGUAUUAGUUUUGGAUUAUAUACAUUUAGCUGGAUUGUUAUUUGUUAGUAAAAGCUUCAAGAUAACUGCUUUUAGUUUGUAAGUUAAUGUUAAAUCAAUUGCGCUCGCUAAUUAGAUUAUUCCUUGAAUCUAUGGGUGUUAUCGCGGCUUAGUUUUUCCCUUUUGCAUUUUCCGCAACCAAAAAGUUAAAGUUUUCCAUUUUUGUCGAACUUGCAAUUCCGUUGACAUUGAUUUGAUAUGUCGUCCUAUUUCUUUGACAAACUUCAUAUGGAAUUUCUUCAUUUUAACCAAAAAGUUUGAUUUUUACAGAGAUUGCAGUUGGAUGGAAAUGGAGUAUCCGGGGCAUGUCGAAAAGACGAGAUUUAUAUUGAGAAAUUGGAAAGAGAACUUCGAAACUGCUCUCAGGAAAUAGGUGACUCUUCUUGCGUGUUCUUAUGCAUUUUAACUAGUAAUAACAUCACGUAUGAGCCUGAAUUUGUUGCAUUAUGUAUGCUCAUCUGUGACAAUCAACUAAUUUGCAUGGUGUAUAAUCUUUUAUAUAGCAUUUGCUGAUAAUUAGAGAUUCAGAAUAUUUGCAGGAUCAGUUAAAUCUGCGGAAUGUUGAGGCAAAUUUCAUCGGAGAGCAUGUACACAGCCUUGAACUGAAGCUCAUGGAACUUGAAAAGUUAAAUGAUGAGGCCAAUUCUCGAUGCUUGGUUUUGAUGGAGGAAUUGAAUCGUAAAGCAGCGGAGUUGCAAAAUUCAGCUUUGGAAAUACAGAAGCUCGAAACAAUAGUUUUGGAUUCCCAGUGUGAAGUUGAGAGCUUAAAACUAGACAUAACUGCUCAAGAGGAGAAGUGCUUUGAAGCAGACAGCUUUUCAGGCCAGCAACUUGCUCAAGAGGAAGCCAGAUUGGCUUUGCAACUGAGACAAGCCGAGUUACAGCUUUCUGAAGCGCAGCAGGUGAUUAACAGUCUGGAGGGUGAGAAUAAGCAGUUAAAAGAAUUAUUAUUGGAGAGAGAUGCUAAAACCAAAAGGUCCUUCUCUACAGUUGAGGAGAAAUUUGAUAAUUUGCUGAAGCAAUACAAGGAAACAAGCGCCAGCAUUGGCAGCAAAGUAGACGAGGCUUUUCUUCUUGAGAUAAAGAGAGGAAGCGAGGCUUUUCUUCUUGCGUUAAACAAAGAGCUUAGUUUGCCGCAUGAAAUGGGGUAAGCCUUCAUGUAAUUCUACCUCUCUGUAUGUUGUUAAUGUUGCCGCCGUCAUCAUCAUCAACAAACAACAAUAUGGGGGACUGGGUUUUAUUAGGCGUUCUGAAUAAUUUUUCACAAAAACACCAUAUUGUCCUUUUAAAUGACAAAUUGCUAUUUGAUCUAUAUUUGUUUUCUAAAUUUAAUUGUUUGUCAUUUCGUCUCAGAAGUUGUCAUCUUUUCAUUCAGUACAAAUAUCAUACAGAUUAGCAUUUAAUAUUGACUCCUAUGUCCUUUCCUUCAAAUUGUUAGUAGUAAUCUUUGGUGCUAUUUCUGAAGCAAUUUUGAGGACUUUUUGGGCCAAUUCCUUUCCAAACUUGCUGUUGUAACAGCAUGUGAUCAGCACAUAAAGUACGAGAUUGAGAAAAUGGCGAAUCAGAUUCAGGAAUCUGAAGGUCUAAUUAAGCAGCUCAAGGUUUGACACUAAAUUAAUUGGUAAAAGAAGUUCCUUUUCUUUUCCUUUUCGGAAAGUACGAUAACUCCAUUGUGUCAGGAAGAGCUUCGAGAAGAAAAACUAAAGGCAAAGGAAGAAGCAGAAGACCUCACUCAAGAAAUGGCUGAACUGAGGUACCAAAUCACAGGCAUGCUCGAAGAAGAAUACAAACGCCGGGCUUUUAUUGAACAGGCAUCUAUUAAGCGGAUUCAGGAACUAGAAGCACAGGUAAUAUACUUCUCUUUCAGUCUAUUUUGAAGGGGCCAAUAGUUAGGGGUUCUCUCAUUGUAAACUUUUCUCCAGUGCAAUUAUUUUCUCAGAAUACGAACUUAGACUCCCUAGGAGCUCCUAUGAAACAAAGGUCGAUGACUUCUCUUCAUAGAUAUGCAGUAAAAGUAAAGAACAGUUCCAAUGGUGUUUCAUCUUAUAAUUUCUGAAAUGUCCUUUCUGCUGUGAAACUACCAGGUAAUCAAAGAACAAAAAAAAUCUAUUGCAGCUCUACGGCGUUACCAGGAAGCACAGCAGCUAGCUACAACUCGAUCGUUAGAGAUCAAGAAACUAAGGAAUGCAUUAAAGGUAUCUUUUUUUUCAUCUCGUAUUCUGAGAAUAUUGGUGCAAUGCAGCUUUCCUCUAAAUGUAAAGCAUAUAGGUUUCGAUGUUCCUUCAUAUUGUUAUGAGAAUUCUUCUUCUAUUUCAUUUUAUUUUGAACCCUAAAUUUAAGCUAAUGAUUUUAUCAUGAUGCAAGAUUAACAAACUGUUAUUUUAAAAUCAUCUUCACCAAAAUUUCAGCUUGAUUUGACUGCUCUGACAAAAGACUUUCAUCGAGCUGAUUAUCUCUGUAUAUGUAUAUAUAUAAUGGAUUGCAGAGGUUUCACUCAGCAACAAACUCGGGGACAGAUGAGAGACUUGAAUCUUGUCCAUGUGGUUCCUGUGAUGAAUCACUAUGUUCAAUGGAUAACUUGGUUGGAUCGUCUACAGAUUCGGAAGCCUUGGAGAAGCCUUUAGUCCAAGAUCUUAUUCAGUGGUAUCCUGAUGACAAUGCUUCGAUUAUCUGAGCGGUCAUAGACAAGAAUGAUUAAUGAAGAUAAGGCUUGCGAGCAUGGACCUUUUUCUUGGUGUCGAAGCCUUCUUUGUGGUUGAUGAUGUAUCUUGAUUUGUGAAACUGCAUCAGUGGAACAUUAAGCACAGGGAUCGGUAGUACAAUAUUGUUAGUUUGUUCCUUUUUUUGCUUCAAAAUGUACAUAUGAUUAUUUCCAGCUUACUUUUUUAUGUAUAAAUGGGUUUAUUGACAGAAUAAACUCCAAACUCAAGUGUAUUCAUCUUUUUCUUUUUCAUUAUUUAUUUUCUACACCUGUUGUUCCUUGGACCAUUAUGAUGGAGGGGUGAUUGUCGCCAAGAUGCAGAACAGCAUAGGAUAUUCGCAUAUUAUUCAACUUUGGAGUUUAACAUUGUGGCUAAAUAUUCGGCUACAGGAAACAAAAAUGCAAACUACUCUUCAAUUUACCAAGUGUCUGAGGCUUGCUGUGGGAUGUAAUGCUAUUUGGUGAGGUGUUCUUCAUAAAGAAGAAACACUCUAUUAAGAUUCUUCCAGUAGCUUUGUUCUUCUAUAGCAGAUUCAGAAACACCAGAUUAGAACUGUGCUUUUGAGGCUCUUUCUGAUUCUUGCUGCACUAGUAGAAGUUCCAAAUUUCUUUCUUUGCCUAAUAAUUUACCUGCAACUACUGCUGCUACUAAAAACAGAUGCAAGUGGGGCCUAACUGGCCCCUAAUAGUAUUAGCAGUUGAUUCCUCCACUUUUGCACUGGUCCCUAAAAACUCCAGUACAAUUUCACUUCUUCUUCAUAUAAUUGUAAAGGCCCUCUCUUCUCACAAGCAUCUUCCUUUCUUCUUGGACUAGUUCCCAGAUCUGGAGACCUGGUCUACUGUGGCUUUCCUACACCUGGUCCCAUGAUGCCCAAAACUUUGAGUUUCCCCUCACCAUCCAUGUGAAUAUAUGUUCACCCCCCAUGGUACAAUGGACCCACCAAUUAGUGCUUUUGUUCAUAUUUGUGAGAUACUUAUAUGUGCAUGACUAUUAGGAAGCACCAACUCACUUAAUAUGCCUUCAUGGGUCUCUUGCCAAUGUCCUUAAAACCCCACUCUAUUGCUUUCUCCUUUUCCCACCCCUUGUUUCUUUUCAUCCUUCUCUUACACUUCAAGCCUAAAGCUAUGAAGAGCUCUCCUUGUGUUUCUCUUCAUAUAUAGGCCUAUAGUUUGCUUUGUGAGUACAAAAGCCAUUCCUAAGCUUAAACAAAGGCAUGAAGAGCUCCUACUCAACAGCAACAACUACCAUAAGGAUCCUUGGGCUACUCCUUUACAUAUCUAUCCUCAUCAUGAUAACAUCUAAGAUUGUACACUCUACUCCAUCAUUGCAUGAGGAUUCGUUGGCGCGGUUUAGCGAUCACUACCGCCUCCUCCACCGCCGCCACCUCCGCAACCACAACCGCCACCAUGAAAGUAGCUCUUUCAUCGCGCCGUCGUGUCUCGCUCCUCCGUUUCGGUGUAAACAAUCUCAUGGAAGUUUGCCCCGACCACCGCCGACAGGCGAAAUUGAUCCCAGGUAUGGCGUCGAGAAGCGGCUCGUCCCCACGGGGCCUAACCCCCUCCAUAAUUGAAGAGCUCAAGCUUGAGUUUAGAGGUAGUGGAAUUCACCAUGAGAUCUUUCAACUCAUAUGUAACUUAUCCCUUCAUGUAUGUAGUACCAUGAUUUUUUUUUUUUUUUUUCUUGGCCUUUAUUGUACUCUACUUCAAAAUAUUUCUUAGGCUAUUGUUGGGAGAUCUUUUAACAUGAAGAUAAAUAAAAGAAGUAGAGAGUCUCACAAUAGAAAAUUUUGCAUGUUUCAUUCUCAAUGAAUCUUAAUUUUGUAUUGGCCUUUUUUGCUUGUAGUUUGUUGGGCUUUGGAAGCUCCAUUGCCAAUAUUUUGUAUAUCCACUUUUAAGUUUGCGUUUUAACUCAUUUUUCACUGUUUCUAAUCCUUUUUCUUUGUUUUUCUUUUCUUUUCUUUUUUUAAUAUGUGGUGCCAACUAAAUAUAUAGGACCAUUAUGUUCUUUCAACUAAUGUUUCUGAACAAUUAAUCAUCACACUUGUGUAAAAAGAUGAGAAAAAGAACUUUUGCUGAUAACUAAUUAUAGUAGUAAAGUAUUAUAACUUACUUAAAACAACCAACCAAAUGAAUCUUGCAAUUUUUUUAAAAAAAUUUCAAUUAAGUUUGGAUCAAAUUGCAGGAAAUCACUUUCAAUCCAGAUGCUAUCAAACUGGCACCAAAUAAAUGCAGCCAUUCAUUAGCAUUAUGUUCUUAUCACAUAAUUAAAUAGACUAUGACUUGAAAGAAAUCGUAACAAAUAAUCAACAAUAUCAAAAGGACCACAAAAUUAUAUUUGAAUAUAUAACUUCUUUAAAUUUUGCUUUGCCUUUUUUCUUCUUAUUAACUUUUCACAUAAAUCUACUUACAUUGCUGCAUUUAGGUGCUUGUAACCAUUAACAACCAACUACCUAUUUAUGAAUGCUUUGCUUUGUUUGUCACCUCCAUUUAAAGGAGUAACAACAAAGUAAGAAAAAGUCCCACUCAUCAACAGAUCCUACUAAAUUUGUUAGCUUAUCAAAAGGAUAUUUAAUAUUUCUCAUGCAUAAGCUCCAAACAUUUUUAAGGUUUGAAAAAGUGACAAAGAAAAAAGGUUUCGACAUGUUAGCGACUCGUACUAAUGAUGCUGAUUAUUCGAAUUUUAGACUUUAAGUAAAGAUUUACUUAUCUGUACAAUCGAAUCGAUAGUUUUGUACAUACAAUAGUAACAAAGUAGUAGUAGUAAAGUUACGGUUAAAUAAUGCGCGAUUAGGUCCUCUAUCGCAUUAGCCACAUUCUUGAUGUAGAGUUUAUGCCAGAUAUUUAGGAGAAGGCAUGUAAUUAAGACAAACUUUAAGAUCAUCUGAUUCUUGUUGAAUAAAAAAGGAAAAGAGUUAAAUUGAAGAAACUAAACACCAAGUUUAUUGAUCAAUCAAAUUUUAGUGGUAAAAAGGAUCUGCAAUACUCAGCAAAGGAGAAACUACCAACAAGAAAAUGUAAAAUCAUGAAGAAUUUUACUGGGCUGCUAUCGGUAGUAAACUACUCGAUUUACUACCGAUUUGUUUUUGAUGAUAGAGCUUUCAAAUCGACGAUCGGCACCGCUGAACAUGAUCUAGACCAUUUAAAUUAUCUAGAAAUCAAAUUUCAUGAUUUUUUGGCAUCACUAACUGAACGAUCAAAGUGUCACAAAAUCUAUAAUUUUAAUGGCCGAUAUGGUGCGUUUGCUCGUUUAACGGUAUAGAAGAGUUCAAAUCAACUAAAUUUUUGUUAAAACAUUCUUUAAACUAUUUAAAAUAAGAUCUAGACUCUAGAUCUCAAAUAUAAAAAUUGUAUCAUCACUUUUUGAAGGAUAUUCAUUUCCAGCCGUUCAUUUUUCUGUUCACUUGAUGGACAAGAGAACAAUAUCGAAAAUGUGUAAAAUUUGAUUUCUAGAUAGUUUAAAUAGUUUAGAUCAUGUUUAACAAUGUCGAUCAUCAAUUUGGAAGCUCUAUCAUCGAAAAUAAAUCGGUAGUAAAUCGAGCCGUUUACUACCGAUAGUAUUCUAGCAAAAACUCAAAUCAUGAAAAUCUCAGUUACUCAAUUAUAUGCUGAUGAAAUUUGCACAAGUAUGAGAAUGGUGGGUGAUUUGAAAUAAAUUUUAAGGUUCUUAGUUAGGUAGAAUAUUGUGACAACAUGAGAUCUAAUUAAUGGAGAUAUAAAGGUUAAACAUGUUUUUCUUGGGCCUUAAUUAAUUAACUCUCUCUCUCUCUCUCUCUCUCUCUCUCUUCUUUGUGCUUACCAAGUGUAUGUACAUUGAGCCUAACUUCUGGUAUAACUACUGUAAAUCAGGUAACAACAGGCUAAGGUCAGGUUCCGCGUCGCCGCUUUUUUUUUAAAAAAUAUUUUUUAACAUUAAUUUUGUAUAAUUUGAUUCGCCGAAAAAAGUACAAAUAGUAAUUCGGUAUAAUUUAGUUUUUAUGUAAUUUCAUUUGAAAUUUCCCUUAUUUUUUAAAUAUUUUGAAUUUGAAGUUGUUUACAGAAAAAAAAAAAAAAAAGUAUAGGUACCAGGUUGCCAUAAUGGGAUAGUACAGGGGCUAUCCCUACAUUUUACCUACAGAGGAUGGAUCUUCUUAAUAAAUUAAAACGUUGACAUUAUUGUUCCGUGCCAGCUGGCAGAUGGGCAUUGGCUCUAUUAAAAUAGGUGCCUUAUUAAUUAUUAUUGUUCUUUUUCUUCAACCAAUUAUUUGCAAUUGCUUGUUUGAAAAUUUAAGCCUAAAUUUCAAAUAACGAGGGGAGAUUUCGUGUAAAAAUAUAUAAUCAAAAAUAUUUAUUUUUUUUUUUGCCUAAUAUUAUAUUCUGCAUAUUAUAAUAAGUCGGUUAUGAUAUACAUUUUAAGCUUCUACUAAAAUAAUACAGAAGCAUAUCACUAUAUAUUUUCACCCAAACUUUAUUUUAUUUAUUAGCAUUAAAUGUGCCUCAAUACUAAACGAACACUAAAUAGAAUUAUACUUAAUUAUACUUAAUGGCAAAUUUAUAGAAUUAAAAAAACUAUACUUAAUUAUUUUAUAGUUUAGCAUAUUUUUACUCUAUCAUUUUACGGUUCAAAAGUUGUACUAAUUAUUUUAUAACUUUAUUUCUGUUUCACCGUAAAAACCUAACAUUAAAUAGAAUUUAAAAAUUUUAUUUUAUUAACUUAUUUAAUGGCAAAUUUUUUUUGACCAAAUAAAAAUAAAUUAUGAAAUAGUUAAGAGCGACUCAGUGAACCAACGAGUAACAAAGUAAAAAUGCACUAGCUAGUUUUCCCAGAAGUGGAGAGUGUGAAGUGAUUUUCUAUCGUAAGUGUCCACUCUCUUUGUUUGGCUCACCGUAACUUCACUUUCGUUCGAAACUCAAACUUUCCAGUACAUCGUAAUUGAAUUUGGCCCAUUAUAGACCGAAGUCAAUUACAAAAAAAAAAUAAACAAAUUAAAGCAAAAUACUAACCCUUUUCUCACACCUUCAGUUUUUACAUCAUUUGUUUCCUGCCAAAUAACUAUCAAAAUUAGAAAAAUUUUACUUCCACAGCUAUACAAACAAAUAGCUAAAAAGCAGUAACUUUUAUUUGAACUCUAGUUCAUCCGAAAAUCUACUUCAAUCUAAAUUUUACAAUCGGUAAUUAUACAGGAACAAAUUGAAGUUUACACAGAACUUAAACAGCUGAGAUUUCUUUGAUCACAUGAAAGCGAUUGUGUAGAUAUAUACGAAUUCAUUUAUCUUAAUUUAUUAAUUAAUCACUAUCAAUUUCAAAGCUGCUAUCUACAAGAAAGGUAUAGAAAAGUUUUUUUUUAAAUUCUCUUUUUCUUUUUUGUUUUUAAUGGACAAAUCAGUGUCUAUUUGCAAUUCUUUUCAUGAAAAGAGGACAAAGUGUACAAAUUCACACAGCAAAUGCAUUGAAAAUGAUAAAUAAAUUAAUAAAGUAAGUUGCAGUAUUAAUCACCAACAAGAAUAGUUGGUUGUUAUUUGGAUUAUUGCUAUUCAAAUAGUAAGAUUUAAUUCUGAACAAAUGCAUUUCAAAAUUAUGUAGAAGAUUUGUGAUCUCAACUUUCCGAUCAGUGUACAUCACUAGUGAAUUUUAAGUCUUGGGAUCAGGAGUUUUCAGAAUAAUUGUAUAACACUCAAAUAAACCCACAUCGAAAAUGACAAAGGAAUUGUGAUUGAAAAUAAAAAAAGAUCACGAAGCUUUAACAAUAAUAACCGGAGUUAAUCAUUUAGGGUUGGUGGUUUGGACUCAAGGAGUUAUUAGUAUUAGUAGGUCGGAUCAUUAUAUUUGAUAUCAGAACCAAAUACCAAUUAGAAGUGUGAGAGAUGAGUGAUAUAUAGGACAAAAUACUGUACCAUAGAUUUGGUAGGGGGUUACUGAAAGGAUUUGGCUUUAGAAUCUUACAUCGUCUAAUACUUUUGAACUUUUUAGAUUUGGAUUUGGAUCUAACGAAAACGUCAGUGUUUAGAUAGAGGGAGUAUGUAAUGCUCUAAUAAUCCCACAUCAGUUGAGAUAUUGGAUAGAAAAGAAAUUGUAAUUAAAAACAUGAUUUCUGUAACACCCAUAUCGGAUGUAAAAAGAAUUGUGAGCGAAAACAUGAUUUUCAUAUGGUUGGAAAAAGAGUUGUGAUUGAAAACUAACUAGUUAUUACAGUAGCACUGAGAUUUUAGAAUAACUAGUUUUUUUCUCUUUUUUUUUGAGAUGAUUUCAAACCACAAAGUAUUAAACUUGAAUGGUUUAAAAUAUAAAAUUAAAUUACAAGUACAAAGCAUUACACCUUUUAAUUAUAAGAUAGGACUAUAGGAGCAAACUACGAAAAUGUGGAUAAAUAUUUUAUUAAAAGAAUAAAUUUCAUACAGCUUUCUAUAAAUAUAUUUUUAUAAAGUUCAACUUUUAUUUAUUGUCCUUAUAAAAGUCCUAAUAUUUUCAAAUAUGUCCCUAUGAUUUGUUACCGUUAAAGCACUGUCUAUUUUAUAAAUGAAAUGAUCUUUAUUUCAUUGCAAAAAAAUUGAACUUAUAGAAAUACUUCUGUAAUUUAUUAUAUUUAUAGGGA
rnacentral:lncRNA from 1 species